rnacentral:lncRNA from 1 species
UUUGUUGUUUUAACUAUUAGUUACGGUAAUUUUCAAAUCAUUUACUACUUUUUUGAUGAUUCCAUUUAGGCAAUUUUUCACUUCAUUUGAUUUGCCAAUAUGUUUAGCUAUUUACUUAAAACUAUUUGGCUACAAAUCUAAAGUAUGUACUUCAUUACUUUUAAUUGUUUUUUUGAAUUGAGUGGAUUAAGAUGUUUUAGUACUUUUUUUGAGAUAAUUAUUCAUCUAGAUUAGUGUGUUAGUUAUUGUAUAUCUUUGCAACUAGCUCAAAAACUGAUGUUUUGUGAUUGUAACUCCUAUCGAGAAGGAGAUACUUUGCUAUAUGUCCUAAAUCAUACAAUAAAUCAUAAUUGAUUGAUUUGUCAAUGUGGAGCUUUCAUGAUGAUAUGUCCUUGGAAUCAAUAUAAAUCCAAGAAUUUGGCUUGCAAGAACCGAAAUUCCACUAGCAAUGAUUUCUUCAAGUAUGAUAAUUUUUCAAAUCUCACUUAGAUGACAAGAUAAUGAGGUAGAUUGCCCUCAUAUCAAGAUCAAAUUCAAACUAAACGACAAAAUUUAACAUCCCUAAAAUGUAUGAGCAGAUAUAAGUAGAUCUUUUAUUCUAUUAUAUUAGACGCAAAGUGAUUAAUCAUAUUUUAUAAUUAUAUUUUAUUGCAUAUUAUAUUUUUUGACUCAAUAUGUAAUUUAUGAUUUUUCUGUUUAAUAUCACAUAAUAAAAUUGUCAUACCUCAAUUCUUAUACUAGAAAAUACUAAAUAAUAAUUAUUAACUAUCUUUACUUAUAGGUACUAAAUUCCCGCGCAUGGCGCGGGCUUUUUCCCUUAGUAUAAUUUGAUAAAUAAAUGAAAUACUUACAAACAUUUUGCAUUCGAUUUGAUAAUCUUCUAUGAAGGUGUGAACAUUUUUCACACCAAUCAACUCUAAGUACGAACACCAAUAUUGGGAGAUUAAUUAUUUUUGUUGAAUGUUAUGGAGUUUGUAUUAUAAAUGAGAAGGCACGAUUUUUGCAUGAAUUAAUGUGCUGGUCUGAACAAUGAAUUAAUGUGGGAGGCUAGUAGUACUUUAUUUUUUAUUUAGUGAUUUUAUAAUUUGGAUUUCACGAAUGGUACCAUUCUUGAUUUUUUAAAUCCAGGACAUUAUUUCCUUUUUGUUUUCUAUUUAAUUUUACCCUUUUACUUAGGAUUACUUAGUUAAAGGAUAAAAUAUUAUCAUUUACUUUUUUACUUUUACUAAGUUUGGCAAUGUUUUUUUUUAUUUACCUUCCCACAAAUAAAGUUCAAACUAAAUUCCUAUAUAAUCGGAGCCACUACUUUUUUAAAUUAGAAAGGCAUGGAAGCCACUUCUUACUUAAGAAAAUAUUAUUUGCACUCCAUUUUUUUAUUAUUUGCAAUUCCACCAUUUGUUUUAUCAUAUAGUCUAAUUAAUGAAAAUUAUAUGAUCAAAAUGAUUAUUGAAGUGUGAAUAAUAAAAAUGGACUGUAAAUAAUCUUACUCAUUUAAAUUAAUAAGAAAGCAUGAACGGAUGUUAUAUUUAUUAUCUUUUCUUAUGGUCUUAUAGAAGUUUUAAUUGUUGUAGAAUCAUAAAUAAUGCAAGGUAAUCCGAAACGUGAUGGGUUGAAGUUCAAAUAGAAUAACAUGCACAUUAACCAACAAUUUGAAAUAAAAUGAUUUUAAAAAAUAAUCAACAAUUUCAAAUGUGAAAAGUAGAUGUGGAAGUUGAGAGAAAUAUAUUUUAUAAAUUAAAUUAAAUAUGAAAUACUAGAAAAAUGGAAUUGAUAGUGAAAAGAUGCGUAGAGGUUUGUUGCUAAAGAUCCGUUCUCAAAUUUAUAUAGAUAUAGAUAGGUCCUUUUUAAAUUCAAUGAAUUGAGAGAAGCAAUUUUAUCUAAAAUAUAAAUGUCAAACAAAGUCAAAGGGAAUGCAAUUGAUGAAUAAGGUGGUGUCAUCAAUAAACCCCUUUACUUUUUACCCUUGCACAUUCGCUAAGAAAAGUACCAUACUUGCCUUAUUGUGUGCCCAGUGAAAGGUUCGACCCUGAAACUUGUGAAUCAUUCCGACCCAGUAACCCAGACCCGCAUAAAGUCCCGUCAUGAAAAUGAACUAUUCCUAGAACCCUUCUUCAACCCCUCCAUUUUCAUCACAAAACCCCACUGUGCUGAAAUUUUCUUCUUGGUUUGAGACAAUGAAUUCUCUCAGUUCUAAACUCGUCAAACUCUUAAGAAUCUCUCCCAGUAUAAAACCUGCAUCUCCAUUUGGUAAAGUUUCUCACCUUUUACAUACACGCCCGCUUCUACUCAGUGUUUCACACAUGCAUGACUGUGCAUUUCUUGACGUGUCAGGAUACUGCUUCCCAAAUCAAAUAGUUUUCAUCUCUUUGGAUGUUUUUCCGAUUAUUUUUAAUGGGUUGAGUUCAAAAAAAGUAUCUUGGUUACUCUAUUUUGCAUUUUGGUUCGUGUGUGUUCUCUGAGGAGUUUUUGCAAACAGUUGGUGCGGCUUUGCUAGGUAUUCCUUAAUGUUUAUGCACUUUUCUGGUGCAUUGAAUUCAUUAUCUGUUUUUUGUGGUGAAAUGUAGCACUGGGUAUGCAAGGAAAUUUAAAGCUGUGUUACUCAUCUGGGCCGUUUGAUAAUGAUCACGACAAGGAGGAUAACAGUGAUCAUGAUUUAGAGAUUGAGGAUGAUGAUUUUCAUCCUGAAAAGCCUGAGCUACAACUUCAGGGUGUGGAUCCGAAAAGGGGAUGGAAUUAUCGGGGUGUCCACAAGGUACAUGCUGUUUGAAAUGAGAAGAGUUUUUUUUUUUAUAACUGUACGAACUGGUUGAUUGUGAAUUAUAUUUGGUUUGGAAUAGUUUGGAACUUUAGAUGUCAUGUCAACUUUAAUUACUGCUUUCUAUGUCAGGCAUAUCUAUGUGGCAAAGUUGGGCAAGCCCCGGUUCAGAAGAUCUUGAGAAAUGGGCGAACUGUAACAAUCUUUACAGUUGGAACUGGGGGUCUGUACGAUCAGAGAAUUUCAGAAGCUCAAGACUUGCCAAAACCAGCUCAGUGGCAUCGUAUUGCAGUUCAUAAUGAAAUGCUGGGGGCUUACGCAGUUCAACAGCUUGCAAAAAAGUAUGGAUCAAUCGUUUUGAUGUACUAGAUACUGAAUUUUUUGUGUCUAUCUAAUCAUAGAACCUAUACAGCUCUUCGGUGUAUGUUGAGGGUGAAAUUGAAACCAGAGUCUACAACGACAGUAUCAAUGGUGCAGUUAAGAACAUUCCAGAAAUUUGUGUGCGCCGUGAUGGUAUGCCAUUUAUGUUCUUUCAAUAUCAUAAGAAGCAGGAAUAUACCCAUUCUCAAACAGGGCAACAAAUUGUAGCUUGCAAGAGAGGGCAUUGUUUCAUUUUGUUUGCCAUCAAUAAUGAUGCAAUUUCCCGGCCUUUCAUGAUGAGCCACAGUAUUUUGGUGUCUGCAAUCAACAAUUUGCCAGAUGUGCUUAAAAAUUCAAUAAAGAAACCGGUUAAAAAAGCGUGCUAAAUAAUGGAAAUUUUGAAGGUUUAUCUGUUCUCAUGGUUCCCAUUUCUUCAAGUGAAAAAUGUGAGCUGAAGAAACCCAUACCUAGAUUACCACAUUUUCCACUGAGCAAGAAAUCUUAGAGCUACUCUUACUACUCAAAUCACGGGUAUUCAGUCAGUAGGCAUCAUUCCUUCCCAUGCCAGCAUUAGAAUAAACUGAACUGAAAUUGAAUGGUCAAUAUCCAUGCUGGGAGCUCUUCAGUUAUUUUUGAACUGACGGAAUACGUUUUCAUAUGUCUGUAAUUUCACCUAUGCAAGUGUAAAAAUGCUUCUCAUAAAUAAAUUGUUGAUCUGUCUAAUUGCUUCACGAAUUUUGAGAACAGAAUUUACUUAUUAUAGGACGUCAUCCUUGAUUUAAAGCUUUGUCUGCUUUUGGAGUUUCAUUGAAUUUUUUUUUUUUUUUUGCAACAAAACAAUUAUGUUUUGCCCUCUUUUUUGACUUUUGAUUGGUAUCCCUAUUUCAGGCAGACAUUUUUUUCUGUGUUCCACUAGAUAUGCUUUACUGCUUGAGUUCAUAGUCAGUAACUAAUAAUUUAUACGAUGUUACUAACAUGUAACUGUUUCUCAAUCGCUAAAAAUGCUCAUUCUGUUCUUAUCGUUUAUUCAUUUCCAUUUGCUGUAAUGUCACAUCAUGAUACAGAGGUUUUAUUUGUACACUGCCAAACAUGCACUAGUUUUGUGUUCAGUGGCUGAUGCAAAAUCAUGUUUAGGGGAUAGAGAACUCUUGGGUACUUAACUUUCUAAAUGUCUUCUAGCACAAGGAAUGGUAGGGGAAGGAGCGUAAAAAGUUAUGUUCCCAUUUCGGGGGAAGGAGCGUAAAAAGUUAUGUUUCCAUUUCGAGUUUUACCCUUUUCUUGUCCAAGAGGCUUAAACUCCUUUAAGUACCCUCUAUGUGUCCUACCCUUGAAGUUUUGUGGUAUGGGUAAACAUCCUUUAUAUGGUUAGGAAAGAAUUACUAAAAGAAGCAUGUGAUUUAAAAUUAUUAUUAAUGUCACAAGUAGGAUGAAAAAGACCCUUCACUUGUUUUGAUUUUCGCCCAAUUUACAUCCAACUUGGACUUUUGUCUUGGUUUAUCAACCAUUUGCUGAUGUAAUUUUGCCAUGCUUGCAAAGACCAAGGACAACUACCUGAUAGGCUCAAAAAUGAGAGAACCAAUAUCUUAGAAUUGCUCAUUCAGGCGGUGGGAUCAAAAUGGUAACCUUAAAUGAACUAUUACCAUCCACAACUCUAAACACAAAAUAAACAUCUACAACUCUUAAUGCUGAAUUUUAAAUGGUAAUUUGUAAUUCAGAGACCAAAAUUUGAUCUACUUAAGAAUGUAUAUGAUACAUUAAAAUAUUAUUGCUAUAACAUGACCCACAGUUUUGUAAGCUAACAUCUGUGGUACCUGCAUGGUGUAGGCCGAAGAACCUGGGUUGCCGUGUAUUUGCCAGUUUAGCAACAUUUCUCUUAUUACUCGUCUCUGGCUUUAACAACUUUUCAUGCAAUGAAAGUACCACUUGACUUAGUGCUGAACUCAGCAAGCCAAGUCAAGCAUAACUUUCCUGGUUAGUUAGUGGCUUGGUUGGUUGGUUUGCAGUUUUGAGCCGCACUUUUUGAUAUUGAGAGUUGCAUAAGGAUCUCGUUAAGUUGGAUCCUGGCCAUUACUUGAAGCUGUAUGUAUGCUGCAAAAAUUAUCUCCUGUCUCUCUAUGUUCUUCCAAUUUGAAGGAAUGUCACAAGAUUUUAAACUUUUAUCAUUUGUUGAAUAAUAAUGAGUGUGCUUUCUCUUACAUAUGUAACAAUUCAACGUUUUGCCUGUUCGCCACAGAAACAGAAGGCAAAGGGCGCACUCUGCAUUGGACUCAUGGUUUUUGGCCAUAUGAUAGAUAAUAGACCACAAAUGUGGAGUACUGGUAAUUUGAAAGGGUUUAAACAUGCUUUUAUCUUCUCUUGCAGGAAGGGUUCGGCUAAUAAAACCAGGAGAGGGUAUCAGCAAUAUUUCUUUUGAAGAGCUCCGUAAGUGACACUGUACUUUUCGGAUAUUGGUCAGCUACGAUGGUGAUGCCUGAUGUUACCCAUCCCUAUAGCUGCUGCUACUGUUACCCACUCAAAACUUCUUAUUACUGGUCAAUCUGUUGCUAUUUCAACAAUUACUGAGUUGGCCAGGGCAAAAAUGAAUUUCAAAUCUUUGUAUGUGAUUGAAUCCAAUUUGGAAAUGCAUGCUCUGCCAAAGGUUUACUUUAAUAUCUAUGACGUACUUUGUUUUGGAUAUGUUCUUUACAUCCCUGUAGUUUGAAACUAGGUUGAUUCUCUAACUUUGGUUCUAACACGCCUAAUACUGCCAUAUGUUGCUGGCAGGUGAAGGGUUGCUGUAGUCAUGUCCAAUUCCAUUUUGGACAAACAUGGUUCGGAAAAAUGGGGAAGUUGACAAGUCUUAACUACUGCAAGAAUCUAUAUUAUUCCUACCUCAAUGAUUUGCUGCCAGAUUAUGCAUUAAGGUCUAACUGGCUUGCGUAGCUUUCGCAAACUCAUGGUAUUGGGAAUAGUUUGCAACUUCCAAUCUGGCGACUAUAGGUGCUUUAGAGUUUAUUUGUUUUAUGGCUUGAAUAUUAUCCAGAAUCAUGAAAUGUCAAUUGAUAUAUUUCUUUUGCUGGCAAAGAAGUUAAUAUCAUGUUUUUGCUUUGCGUGGGUUUCUAAAACUUUCAGUUCUGGAUUAGAAUUGGACGUCUAGGACGGAUGCCUGAAUACAUAUUUUGUUACCUAAGAUUCUUGGAUUAACAUAUAUCUUGAAGAUAAUGCAGCAGGAUUGAUGGCCAAACUUAUGCCAAAGGAAGAUGGAUCAUUACAUAGCCUUCCACUUGAUCUUUAUGUAAACAUUUGUUAUUGUGGCAUUAGCCCUAUCCCCCUUUGACUUAAGACGACCAAAUCAUACAUUUAUUUAUGUACUCCAGGAAACCCACCCCUUCGACAUCAAAGAAUAUGGGAAGAACAGGGCAUUUUGAAGGGUUGGCAAAGGACUCCCUAAACUGUGUCUGCACUAAAAAAUAAAAAGCCGAACUGCUUGUCCAGGCUCGGGUGUGCGACUCUUUCUUCCUCGAAAAUCUGCUGAAAUUCCUAUAAGAAAAAAAGAAAGAAGAGAAAACAACCUGCUGAAAAAGAAUCAGUAAAAUCUUCAAAUCAUCUUCUGUUUUUGUAGAAGCCCAAGUGUUAGAACUGCCUACUUAGGUUCCACACGGCAUACAUUCCUCUAAUCAGUUCUCUAAUAAUCUCAGGCUCCGUUGACAGAUAUAAAUCUCUUUAAAUAUCUAGAACCUAAAUUCCGCGUUGCAGGAUGAAUUACCACAGCCAAGAAGUCAUCAUGGUCAAACAUAUGACAAGCACAUUAUUUUGAGAGUGGAAAGUAGGAUUAGUGAAAAGAAACAAAGGCAGAACAGAUGUGUUGCAUGUCACCCUUGCCAUGUGUCUCAGGCUUAGAUACUGCAACUUAGACCAUUUUUGACACCAAGAAUGAUGAUUGCAACUCAGCAAACAGAUUUCAAGAAAAGCGAUUUUUUUUUUUUUUUUUUUUUUUGUUGCUUGACGAAAAAGAUUAAAAUAAAAAUGAUGUUUGAAUGUUGUCAUAGCCAAAGGAAGGCAUCAUCAUGGUGAUGACACAUUGGUCAGUGGAAAAUAGUAAUGUGUAGAGGUAUGACAAUAGCGUGAAUAGAUUUUAUUCAGUUGGCCAAUCAUAUCUCGACAGGCUAUGACAAACAUUAGCAAACUUUUGUAACUUAUAAUUUUGUCUCUCUGCUCGUAUAUGAAGUUCUAACAUUUUGUAUAAUUUUUUGAGAGCUCAGUACUGCUAGUGCAGGGUUUCCCUUAUCAGGCAAAAUGGUCCCUCAAGAACCCUGAAUUAAAAUACGAACAUUGUAGUAGUGCAGGGUUUUGUAGGGUUAUUGUAGUGUUAAGCCGUUAACGAGCGUCUGAAUAAUUGAAUAAAAGCUCCUGCUGGUGAUGAACUUGGUCAGCACUUACGUAAGAAACUAUUAGAAACAAUUUCCGGGUGUAGAGAAUGUGGUGCAAGUCAUUUUUUAGCUGUAUACAGCUUAUGAGUGAAUUGAUAAAGUUUGAUUAGGCAGGCAAAUUGAGGAUUUCCAACUAUUUGUUGAUGUUGCAGCUGAUUUUUUCUGUCGAUUUUGAGUAAGAGAUUUUAUCUUUGAAGCUGUUAAUUGAACUCCUAUUAUAUAACAACAGAACAUGGCCAGCUGCCCAAGCUGGUUAAGGUUAUACUGAACAUGGUCCCAGAAUUCUAGGGUUACUGAGCUUACUAGGGUCUGUGUUCGAAAGGUGUGUUUUUUAGGUAUUUGUAUAAAGUUUUUUUACUGCAACUUACUGUAAAAGCGAUAGAAAAUUUUUGUGUAUUUGAAAAUUAGAAAAACAAUUUUUCUUUUUUUCUUUUCCUUUUCUUCUUUCCUUUCUUCUUCCUCUAUCCCUCUUCCCUCCUUCCUCCCUUCCUACUGCCACCACCCCACUCUCCUCGCCGGCACCAACAACUCUUUUUUUCCUCCCUCUCUCUCUCUCCUUCCCUCCCUGCCUCCCUCUUCCUCCUCUCCUCUGCUCCUCCCAGAACCUUCUCCGCAACCAGCAGGGGGAGAAGGAUUUGGUCAAACCUGAUCACAUGACCAGCAGGGAAGGAAGAGGGGAAAGGAGGGAGGAUGAGAAGGAGGAGGAGGGAGAGAAAGAGGGAGGAAGGAAAGAACGAAAGGCAAAAGACAAAAAAAAAUUGGCGUUGGUGGAGGUGGUGGUAGACUGAGGUAUAAGAAGGAAGAAGAAGAAAGAAGGGAAAAAUUUGUUUGUUUAUUUGGGUAUUUGAGGUGUGUAUUUAAAAAAUUUUGGGGAGUUUUUGAUAUCACUAUAAGUAUAGUUGUAGAAGAAAAAUUGGAUAAAAAACAUGGGUUCCAAACAGACCCUAUAAUAUGUCAUUGGCAUUCAUGCACAGUGGCCUUUCCGCAAACUCACUUCCUUUACAGGCUUGACGAUUGGCCUUUUAUUUAGUUGUUACCUACCAAUAAAAGAAAGCAAACGUGGAGAGGAGAUAAGUUACUAAAUUGUUUGGAGAUUUCCCAUUUCCAUUUCUAAACCCAAUAUGAAUCCAAUGGCAAUUUGAAAACACCAACCAUAUAAAGAAAGGUGGAAUUUAAAUGGUUAAUGAUUGUUUUGGGAAUUCUGUUCUCUUGUUGGGCCAUUUGGGAGGACCUGAUUUGUUAGAAGGCAGUAAAUAAUGGAAAAGUACUUAAAAGUGUCCCAGUAUCUGGAGAAAAUUACUCAUUGAGUCCAAGUGACAGAAAUAGCUAAUCAGAUUCAAUAAGCAUGGAGAUCAGCUUAACUGAUGGCUGAACUAUAAUUCUGUAUGGUUUUUGUCUAAUAGAUGGUCAUCCGUUAACACACUUAAAUUUCACCUAAUCUAUUAUGUUUAUCCACAUAUAAAGAAUUAUUAAUUAUGUUUGUUUGGAUAGAGUAUUAUUUGGAAUAAUCGCUGUAUCAUUUUUUGUGAUGUGACGUAUGUGAGAUAAAAAGAUGGUUGGAAAUAUAAAAAGGUAGGUUAGAAAUGUGUUUGUGAUGCAAACAAAAUAUUAUUUGGAAUAAUAUGAUAUCCAAACAAAACUAUUUCAAAAAUCUAAUAUCUGAAAUAUAUUUUAACAAGCUCUCAGUGAAUUCACGUUAGACAUACCCUACCUUUACAUAUGAUUUAAAAAUUAAUUAAAGAUAUUGAUACGUAUCUUGCCAUGGAAGUUGAGACAAGAUAUUUUUGUUGAAAUGGAUUGGAUAUCAGGAUGAUAAGGCAUUAAUUUAUUUUUUUAACCCAAUUAGGAUGAUAAGGCAAUCCUUUAUUUUUUUUUAACCCCUUUUGUCAUUUCUUCGAAAGGGGAGGAGUGGGAAAGAAGGUGGAAGGAAAAAGGGGGACCAUGAUAACCAAAACCCUCGUUGUAAGUCUAGAAAGAAAAGACAUUUUUAACUACGUACCACAUCAAUCCUAUAUAUGCAGAAGUUCAAGUUUGUGCUUCUUUCACUCUUAUGGCAAAUAAGAUUUUUUGUUUUUUCCGCUUUUGGAAAGAUAGAUUAAGUAGUGCGAAGAAUUGGUUGUCUUGGUAAUAAAUUUUUUUAUUAAAUAUUGGACUUUAUCAAUUGACAUGAGAAAAAAAAAUAAUUUAUUGCCCCCUUACUAUUUGGAAAGUUCGUUUAAUCAAAGGCAAAAUUUGACUACUUGAGUUAUUAUUAUUUCAUCUUAAACCCAUACAUUUUUUGUAUCUUAUAACUUGUAUGAGAGAAAAGAAAAGAAAAGAAAAAACUUUGUAUGGGGUGGAUUUAGAAUGAAAGGAUACGAAUCUACCUUCUCAUCAUAUCAAUUGGUUUCACGAACAUCAAACUAACUUUCAGUCAUCCAUAAAUUUUCUGGUUUAAAAUAUUUCGGUACCUGGUAUAUAGCAUGAGGUAGGGUAGGCCAUAAUACGUCCCUCUCCAUGGUUCGCCUAUAAAUAGCUGCAACAAUAUAGUAAUCCUUGCUCCAUUGGUAAUCUAAUAAUCAGUAGCAUCACCAUCAAUCACUGUUACUUUUACCAUGCUGGUUCUGAUUCUUUUUUCACUUGUUUCAUCAACUUCCCAUGCAUCAUUACUCAGUAAUGCAUGCCCAAAAUGUGGCAAUUUGGAUGUUCCCUAUCCCCUUAGCACCCGUGAAACCUGUGGACUCUCCAACUAUAAGGUCUACUGCAAGAAUGGCAGCCUAGAAUUCUUAUCAGCUGAAGGGCUCUACUACCAAAUCCUCAGUAUUAAUCAGCUUGAAAAUAGGCUAAUCAUCAGCCCUCCCCUUAUUCAAAAACGCACUUGCCGAUCUUCUGAUCUUUCUUUAGGUGGCCUAAGGAUAGAUGAUAACUCUCCUUUCAAUAUUUCUUCAAGAAACACCGUGAUGCUGUUUAACUGUUCUGAUGACAUUCUUCUGUCACCACUAAAUUGUUCUGUAACAAGCCCUUGCAGGCUGUUUGAAGGCAAGGUUGAGGAGGGAAAGGGAUGUCGAAACACGCUUUGCUGCUCUUACCUCAAAGAUUCAUCCAUGAAUUCACAUAGAAUAAGAAUCAGAGUUGGAGGAUGCAGCGCUUAUACCUCUGUAGUUGAUCUAAAAUCCUCCACUGUUGAUGAUUGGCUGUUUGGCAUUGAGUUGCAAUGGCUACCUCCAACUGAGACUCUCCUCCGGUUGGGAGUGUAAAAGUGAUGUAUCGUUCGAAUGGCACACAAAUUUCCAAGGGAUGCAUCCUGGGGAUGUUGUAUUGUGCCGUGAUAGCUGCUGCAAUGGUUGUCCCUUUUCAUAUAUAUAUAUGAAAAUCAGUAACAGUGGCUGUUCACACUUGAUAGUGUUCACAUAUUGCAGUAGCAACAUGACCAUGAUUGUCUACUAUGCCUGCUCAACUCCCUUCUUUUUAUGUUAUUCCACAAUUAUUAGGCUUGUUCUUGUUUGCUGUAGAUUAUGCAAAUGUGUUAUUGUCAGAAGUGGUCAUUGAGAAUAAUUCAAGUAAGCUAAAGCUUGUAUUUGGUAGAUUUUAGCCCCUUUGUUACUUAACUAAACAAAAUUUAAGAUUUUCGUGUAUAUCACUCUUUAUCAAAUAAUCUUGCUGCAGGUAUCAAUUGAAGCUAAGUGCGUUGGAUCAAAAAUAAAAUAAAUAAAUUUAUGUGCUCGAGUACAGUGACUAAUAUGUUUAGAAAAGUGGGAUAAGGCACUGAAUAAAUUUUUUUUUUACGACAAUAAUUGGUUAGAUUUUUAAUUUAUUGUAGGCCGGUCCUUAUUAGCUAAUUCGCUAUUGCAAAGCUAAUCCUAAGCUCUACCUUCCGAAUGUGCACUUCAGCCCCUUUUGGUGGGUCUAGCAAGAAGCUGUACCUUGGGGCUAUAAGCUGAUCGCGUCUGAUUUAAAGAUUAAUCUUUCCUACACUGUCAGUAUUUGAUAAAUGAUAACUAUACAAAAUUUGAAUUUAAAAUUCAUUUUUUGCACAUAUGUCAUGAAUCCAAUGAUAUUAAUAUAUAUACUGUCAGUCAUCAGUCAGUGUAUAUAUGAUUUAUUUUUAAAAAAAAAUAAAAUGGAUUUUUUCUAACGUUGAUGAUGUAUGUACACUAGGGGUCUUUGAUUCAUGAUAACUAUUCCUGAUAAAUUUGAAUGUUUAGGUUUUUUACACCAUAUGAUGAUAUGAAUUAAUUGGAUUGUUGAGAGCAGAGCGAGUGGCUUACGUAGUUAUGCACGUUGGUGUGAGGCGCACUGGUUGAAUGUUGAUGCACAUCAAUUAACUCUACUUUGCACUUCUGAAUUUGUAUUAAUUUUCAAUACUUCACGCUCUAAAUUCUCAAGUUUGUCCUAUUUAAAUUCAAUUAAUAGCAAAAUUAGACAAAUUAACAGAAUAGAUGAGCAUAUAAAUUAAUAAUGACAAUAUGCUGAAAGUGGUUGAGAGGUGCAAAGGAAUCGCAACCUAAACAAAAUGAUAAAAUAUCAUUGUUUUGCAUCAUUUUUAUCUCGUUUGUUUUGCUAACAGUAUUAGUUAUUAAAUGGGACAAGUUUAUUCUAGUUGCGAUCCUUUGCUCCUUUUCGCACUUUUAUAGCACAUUGUCAUUGAUUUCCUUUUAUUCCAUCAAUUUUGCUAAAGUUUAUAUUGAUUGGAUUUAAAUGGGGCAAAUUUGAGAUUUAGGGUAAAAAGUGUCCACAAUUAAGAGUUUAAGGUGCAAAGUAUUCAAAAUUAAAGUUUAGAGAGUAAAGUAAAAGAGUUGUACAAAUUCGGGCGUACAAAGCGAGUUAGCCCAUUCUAAUCAAUUAGGUUACACGGUCAGGAUUGUCUAGGUCAAAUUGAAGGGUAUUUGAUCCACGAUAAGUAAUUUUCAUUUUAAUUUGAACUUUAGAUUUUACACGUGUAGAUUACAUUCACUUCCGCUAGUAUGUAUACUGUCAAUGUUGAAAGAUUAAUUCAAAACAUAAUUAACAAAAAAGGAUUAAUCUUUCAUACACUAUUAGUUUAUACAAUGAUGAACUAGAUACAUACCAUAUCAUCUCAAUUUGAAUUUGAACAUGAACACUAAUUUUGGCAUAUAUGGUAUGUAUUUAAACCUGCUAGUGUAUAUAUGGUCAGAGCAUAAAAAAUUUAUCCAACAAAAAGGAACACCUUUAUUAAAAAAAAAUGAUUAAUAUUAUAUAUAUACUGACAGUAUGUAUACUAGAGGUAUGGAUACAUACAACCUAACUCUAAAUUGAAUUUGAACUUUAAUAUAUAUAUAACAUGCAUCAAUAUAUGAUCAAUAUUCGCUAGUGCAUACAUUCUCAUUGUAUAUAUACAAGAUUAAUCCAACAUGUUAAACUCUGGUGAGUUAUCAGCAAUAAGCAUAUUUUGCUACUCAUCAUUAUGAUAUCAUAUCACACUAGAUUGAAAUUUUCAUUUUUUUGACUACUUCUCACGUUAGUUGUAGGAGUUAAAAACUCUAAUCUCUAGACAUCCAAGGUCCAACCACCAGGCUACCCGCGGUAUCAUCCAAGAUUGAUGAACUGAUGAAAAGGUUUGCAUUACAAAGUUUGAAAAUCAAUUCCAAAAAGCUUCUCUUUACGAAAUUCAAAACUUGCUAACUCCUAUUAUAGCUUUAAUAUCAUCUUCCAAUUUUAAGAACUGGGAUGCAAUUCCUCGAGAGCAUAAUUUUAAGAUUUUCAUAAUUAGCCAAAGCAAGAUGGAGAUGACACAAUAGAAGACUAGAAAAUAUGAAUUAAUCUCUAGGGUAGGGGUAGGGGUAGGGCUACUGUACCAACCAUAACGUCCAUUAUUAGUUACAUGGAGCUGGCCAAACAUAUUUUUGACAGCAUAAACAAACGUUAGGAAACUUUCCUUCUGGUGGAUCGCAAGUUUCCAACUUUUAUUUAAAAUAAAAACAAAAGAAAGAAAAAGUUCUUGGGGUUUUUGGUGAAUAUUCCCUCACAACUAGGCAACAUGAUGGUUUCUACAGAAACUUCCGCAAAGUGGACAAAACAACUGGGAUUUUUGCAGGUGUAUUAUAUUGUUGGAAUCUGCCAUCCGUCUGAUUAAUUUAAGUAAGCAUAAAGUUUUCAUAUUGGAAGGUGGAUGAAUGCAUUGUCCUGGACGGAGUAAGCCAUGCCUUAUAAACUUCAGAUAAUGCAAAAAAAAAAAAAGAAAUCCACUUAUUGAUGCCUUGUAAACUUCAGAGAAUGCAAUCAACACGUUGCUAUUUGAAACUCUAUAUACUUUCUUUUGGGCUUUGACAGUUGGCUUAUUUUCAUUGGCUAAUUGCCAAUAAUGAGAGUAAGAGAAUUUUUUUUAAAAAAAAAAUAUUAUAACACUUUUUUUAUGUGAUGCAUAUAAAAUAAAAGGAUAGUAGAAAAAUAUAUUGAUGGUACAAGCAAACAAAUAUUUAUAAAUGAUCAACCACCCAAAUUUGGUUAACGUGGCAAUUCAAGAGCACCGAUUUUAGAAAGGAAAAGAGGCAUUCUAAAAGGUGACCUACUACUCUGGGAGUCCUGUAUCUCAUCGUGGCAGUUGGGGUGCGAUGAUUUGGUAGAAGGGAAAAACAAUUGAAAAGGUGCUAAAAGUGUCUAGUACUAUCUAAAGAAUUUCUAAUAGCUUGCCACUAAUGUUGAAUCACGACGUUUCUAUGGCCGCAUAUAGUAGUAUUUUCGGAUGAUAAUGCACCCAUUAAUACACUUUUGCACCAACUCGCUUCUUUUUGAGGCUUAGUCGAAGGGACGGGAUUGGGGCUCAUGAGUUCCCUUUUACUCCGUUUUUAGAGUCAAAUAGUCAUUUCAAAUAUCCAUUCAUUCCAUAGGGGUACGUAGGGGUAAUUUCAUAUGGAUAUGAUGAUAGGGAUAUUUUCAUCCCCGGCCUAACAAAAUAAUUUCGGAUAUUGCUCCUCCGGAAAUGGUCGAGGCAACUGCACCUAGGGAAGUUAUCGUUAUGGCCAAAAAUUUGUUUGUGAUGCAUUUGAAGUCAUUCAAAUUACGCACUCUAUUGAGGAUAUCCUUUCUUCUUGUACACACCAAAAUUUUAUUUUAUUUUAUUUGGUUUUAUUUUUAUUUUUUUAUUUAACCAAAGUUCGCAAAAUGAUAGUUAGCUAUUUUUAUUGAAUUAGGUUCAUCUUCUUUUAAAAAUAAUAAACAAAACAAACAUUUUUUUGCAUUAAAUUUUCGAAAAAAGAAAAUUCUCACAAAAAUUUGUUUUUAAUCUUUUCAAAUUUAAUUUCUUCAAAAUAAAUGCAAAUUUUCAAAGCAAUCUCAAAUAGGAAUUUAACAUUUUUGUUUACCCUAAAUUGGCUUUGCAAAGAAAAACAAAAUAAAAAAUAAUAAGAAAAUAGGUGGAAUACAUGCAAAAUAGUUAAGUGGAAUGCAUGCAAAUGAGGCAUGUGGUUUUGGCUUUUUACACACCACAAUAUAUAGGGGCUAGGUGGCAAUGACAUGUGGGGGUUGGAGGAAAAAUCUGGAAACAAGAAAGAAAAGAGAGAGGGAGCUUCCGGGGGGGGGGGGGGGGAAGGGAUCUGGAAAAAAAGGAUGAAACAAGGAAGAGAGUUCGGGCAAAGAGAGGAGAAAAAGGGGGGAACGAAAGAGAGAAAGAAAGAAAGGGAGGAGGAGAGGAAGAAAAGGAAAAAAAGGAAGGGAAAAAGGGAGAACCUGGGGAAAUCUAGGGAAGAUUAGAAAGGAAAACAGCAAAAUAAACGAAAGGCAAAAGAAAGGCAAAAGAGAGGAUAGAAGGAAGAGAGCAUUUUGCAGAAAUUUUUUCUUACGAUCAGGCUGAUCGACCAUCCUCUUUCCUGAUCAAUUUCCGACUUGAUUUCUAGGUUUUUUGGGCGAGUUCUUUUUUUCUGCACCAUCUCUGGAUACCCAUGAACAACUUUUGUUAGAAAUCGAUCAGUAAAAACGUUUUCAACCCUCUCAAAUUGCAGCUCAAAAUAACAAGAUCAUCAAUGCUGAAAUUUCUGCAACAAGGGUUUUGAUUUUCAGAUUUUAGCUUUGAAUCUCACUUUCCUUGGAUUUCGUGCGUUUAUUUUGCAUCUUCAAGCAUCAAAAGUUAAUCUUAAACCUUCCCUUGCUUGGUGCAAUCCACAUGCAAAAGAGUUGAACCCAUUAAACAAGGUCCCUGUCAGAUUAUUUCUUCAUGAGUUUUCUUUGCACUUGCCUUAUGCGUGUUAUUGGGUCUGAUGCAUGUUAUUAAAGAGAUGAAAACGCUGGAAAGUUGAUGUAAAGGUCAUCAGUGUUGUUCUUAUUUAUCUCUAACACGUUCUAUAGUUCAUGAUCUGAGUCACGUUUUCAAGGUUUUGUAAAUGAAAGUUUUCUGUUUCUUUUUCUAUUUGCAAACCCGAGAAGGAAAGUAAGAGAGGGGGGAGGUCUUAAGCCAUUAAUUUCGUGUUGUUACAUUGUUGGGUUGAAGUUCCUAUGUUAGUUGAUGAAUCAAUGGAUUUUGUUUGAACUUGCGGCUGAUUUUCUUGUGAUUGAAUAAGGGUAGCCGGAAAACAGGAAUGUUGCAGAAGAAAGAGUAAUGGUUGCGAAGAAAUGCAUGAACGAUUUUGAAAAUUCCACUUCAGCCCCUCAAGUUCCCCAUAAUGCUACUAUGGCCCAAAAAUAUGAAAAAAUAAUCAAUUUUACGCUUUUAAAUUCAAUCAUUUUUUAAUAUAUUAACCAUGUUUUGGACAAGUUCAUUUUCCGGUUUUAGAAGGUAAUUAGAGCUUAAUUAAUUUUUUGAGCUUUAUUUUGCUUUGAUUUUGACCCUUAAUAGUUGUGAUAAUUAUGAUUUGACCUCAAAACUUUCUCAAUUGUUUACAAUUUAGUACUUGUUUGUUUGAUUUCUCAAUAGAAGUUGCUUUUUUUUUAAUUAUUCAUUAUAUUCCAUUUGAAUGCCUAAAUUGAUAGAUCUCAUAUUUAUUUUCAUUUCCUUGUGAUUUAUUUGUUAAUUAAAUUUGUGUCUUGAUCAUUUUUUGUUUAUUUUGGAGUUAAAUAAGGCAAAUCCACCUCCUCAAUUAGCUACUAGUUUAAGAGAGGUAUCUUCUUGUGUUAUUUUAAAUCACAUUAUGUGCCUUUAUGUGUUUUUAUGUGUGUAAUUGCAUAUUUUUUGAGUGAUUUUCCUUUUAGUUAUUCGUUUUAUUUGUUUUAAGUUUCAUAUAUUUACUUUAAUUUUGAUGAUUAUUUGAUAGGCAUUUAAAUGCCAACUUGUAAUAGAUAGGGGUUUCAGACAUGUAUUUAGAUAUGUUAUGUUAUAGAUAGGUUUUAAUUCUUACCAAAAGUAUAAUUAGUUAGAUAAAUGUAAUAGUUAGGUUUAUUAUUUUAUCUUUUCCCCCCUUAGAUUGUAGUUAGGGCCCCGAAUGUAAUAGUUAGGAAUCUAUUUGCUUUUAUUUGCUUGCAUGUUUGUGUGUUUACUCGCUUUCUUAGAGUCUUUGCAUCUAGAUAUCAUGCUUAUGUACUAUGUGUUCUAUGUGUUUACUUGCUUUAUCAUGUUUUAUAUGAUUUAUUUAUUUAUUUAUAAUAAAUGCACGACGUCACCAUACUAGUUCAAUGCUAGUUGUGGCCUUUCUCUCCGACUUCUCACUAGUCCAACGCUAGUGAGAACUUAUAGACAUGGGCUAGUCCAAUACUAGACACUUAGAGACCGUCCACGCGCUAAAUCAUAUUUACGUGACAAUCACUACAUUUCAUGCAUAUUUUCUACUUUUUAGGAUCUUUACCAUUUGCAUGAUAUUUCCUCUAUAUGUAUAUUCCCUAUCCCUAUGUGUGAAACAUAACAUUUAGACUUGUAUUCCAUUUAAGGAAAAUUAGAAAUAGGUUAGUGCAUUUGCUUGAUUAAAUAGGAAAGUCAUCCUUCAAAUAUUGGAUAUGGACGAGUAUGGCCUCUUAGCCUUAGUACGCUCGUAUCUCCUCUAUAAAAAAAAAGGAAAAUCUAGUCACGAAUUUAGUCCCCCGUACCCGUCAUGUUGCAUCCCUCUCUUAGGUCACAUAUACUUAUCUUAUAUAUUAUAAUUCUUCUUUUCUUCGAAUCUCACUUUGCAUGCUCGUGAUAUUUUCUUAGGGUCAUUUUGGGGCAUUACAAUUAAUGUGAUUUGCACCAAUUAAAUUUUGAAGAGACAUUCCGACCCUUUGGAUAUUCAUUAGGUCUAGACUUGCAUCCAUAUAGUAACAUCCAAAUGUGAUAAGUUUUAUACGUUAAAUUAAGAAAAUUUUCGACUAAAUCACGCAACUAGCUUUGGUUAGAUUGAAAGGGUGUCUUGGAUUUUAUCCUUGCCUUCCUUUUUUUCAGGCGUGACUCACGAACCCUUUUUUCUUGCUUUUCGAAGACUUGGAGUGGUCUAAAAAAGGGUUUUCUAUAUUUUUUAUUUAAAAAUACAUUUUUGGGUGACUUGGUACACCUUAACUCAAUACCAAAUGUCGAUUCCUAUUUUUUCUUUAAAACCCUUUUUAAACUAUUAUUUUGGAUCCAAAUCGUCCCAUUUUUUAAGUCCCAUUUUAGACCCUUUUUAUUUAUUUUUUUUAAAAAAUCAAAAGCUCAUUUUCACUCAAAAUUAAUCAAAAAUUCAUUUUUUAUAACCCGUAAUUUUAUUUUUCAAAAAAUGGGGCGCGACACUUCUAUUGGGGCCUUUGAUUGAUGAUAUUAGAAUGGUUUUUUAUCAGAUCAUCACUCCAUUGAUAUAAAUUGGGUUCUUAGAAGAUGCAAAUAAAGUUACCCAUGAAUUCACUCUUUUAUGUCAAAUCUUCUGACUAUAUUCAAUCCCUCUGGAAUUCUCUUGCAACUUUUGUCAAUCAUUUCUUGCUAAACAAUUUCUAGCAAUCAUAGUAAUAAAAUUUUCUUUUUAUAAAAAAAUGGAUGAGAAAAGGCAAAGAUUGAAAGAAACCAAUUAAAUUUGGAGUAAAUGUAUCAUCGGCCUAAUUUUAUUAGUGUAAUCGAGUUUCAACCAAAUACUAUACCUUUUCUACCACAUAUGAUAAACUUUCAAUGUGCCACAUAAUUAUUGGUCGGUUCAAAAAUGUACUAUUAGUCACUGUACCAACCUAUCAUUUGUCACCAUGUCGAUUUGGACAAUUACAUUUAGUGCAUGUUUUCGUGCAUUGCAUGGAUUAUCCUUUUUUUUCUUUUUGUGAUGUAAUGUGUAAUGGUUUCGUAUAAAUAGAUGUAAGACUCUAGUCAUUCUUGCUUCGUUGGUACUUUGACACUCAAUCAUUAGAAGUUUAACCAUGUUAGUUCUGAUUCUUCUUUCACUUGUUUCAUCAAGUUGUGCAUGAACAUUUGCUCAAUGAUCCAAAUGUGGCAAAAUGGAUGUUCCAUAUCCCCUGCCAACUGUGAAAACUUCAAGUAUAUCACUACCAAAAUUAGUUUUGACAAUGACUAUUUUGUUUAAGAUAGGAUCUUGCACAUGGGAUUACACAUCUUCAAACAAUACAAUACGUUAGAAUUUUCUUGGACAUCUCACUCUACAUUUAAUUCUCAUGACUUGUGCUGUGUUUUGCAGAUGUGAACGAUUUAUACUCUGAAAUUGACUCCGUAAGUCCGCGUGAAACAGAGAAGAUUCCAUGAAGAAUGAAAAUGUGUAAAUGUUUGUGGCACAAAGUUAAAGGCGAAAUCGGGCCAUUGGGAGACCCUGGGGAGGCGGGCAGGCCGGAGAAGCCACCCAGCCCAGCCUCUUUCCUAAGAUUAAUGUUCUUCUGAUUUGUUUCCACGAAAUUGCUAUAUGCUACAAAAUGCUGAAUCAGAUCUUUCGUUUACAAAAUUCCAAAUUAAUAUAAGCACAUAACAUGUUUAUCGAAAUAUUAAGCCUUUUCCUUUUUUUUUUUGUGUGAAAUCUCUUAGAUCCUUCAGAGAAUCUUGCUGUUUACUCUCUCUUUUAUUCUAUUCCCUAUCAAGUACGAUACAUUCAACAAUAAAUUAUCCCUAACAAAGCCCCACAUAGACGACGUAAACCAUGUCUUCUGACUUGCGUUCCUAAGCCGUGAAUCCAUGUCCAACAGUCAAUAAUAUUCUCAUAAGCUACAGUUGGUUAUUUUGAUGAAUUAAUUGUUGUUGUUUUUGAAUGAGAUUCUCACCUCAACAGUCAAUAAAGGUUGCAAGUUCGACUCCGGUAUAUAACGCCUUGAGUCGAUCACCCUCGAGUAAAAGUCAGACUUUGCGGGCGCUUUUAGACCCUAGUUUGGAGAGAUAUAUGAAUGCACAAAAUCAAAUUUGCAAGCAAAAAUAGGGCUGCAUAUCAGUCGAUCGGCUCCUGAUCGCGAGCAGUUCGAGUCAAAACUCAACUCAAAUUCGAUAAACACUGAGUUCGAAUCAAGCUCAAGCUAACCAAGUCGAGUUCAAGCUCAAAUUCAAGUUUAAAAAUACUCAACUCGUUAGUUCGCGAACCAAUUCGACUCUAUAUAUAUAUAUAUAUAUAUAUAUAUAUUAUUUUAAUAGUAAAAUUACAUAUAUAUAUUCAUAAUAUUUUAUUAUUUAUUAAAAAUUUACUAUUUUAUUUAUUUUUAAUUCUUUUUAAGCUCGAGUUCGAGUUUGACUCAGUUCGAAUUUGAAGUCGAGCUCAAACCUGAGUUUUACAUUAAAAGUUUAUUGAAUUCAAAUUUGAUAAAAUUAAAUCAAAACUCGAUUCAAUUAAACCAAAAUUCGACUCAAUUUAAUUAAAUCAAAAUUUAACUCGACUCGACUCGUUUCGUUUGCAAUACUAGUAAGAAAGAACGAUGAUACUUCUGUGUUUCUUUUACCUUAUAACACUUUUACUACCCCCGGGGGGCCACAGCUGUAGGCAGGCAAGCUGCUUUUAUUGGGAGUUCUGUGGAGAAUGCAGGCGAGUGGCGGCAUUGGUCGGGUGAUCAAACAUUUGCAGGGGUGACUGGGGCGGACGGGAGAAUUAAGAGAAAUAGACAGGUGAGCAUGAUUUCAUCCGAUUCUUUUUGCUUCACUUAUUUGACAGUUUUUAUCUUUUCGGAGAUAAAACAGAAAUUUUUUGAAUUUCCAAUUUCACUCUCUCAAACUACAUUAAAGUGCUGUUUAGAAAUUAAGUAAUCCACGUUUCACAAUAGAAAGUCUCGAGAGAAAAAGUUUGAGAUCGAAGCCAAUUUGAAGUGGAUUUACUUAAAAAAAUUUAGACCCGUUUAAUCCGGUGAUAGUUCAGUCCUCUCCGAAUCACCCCUGAACCUCCUUAAAUCCGCCCCCUCCCUCUAGUGUAGGAUAGAUUAGGUUAUACAAUAAUUAUCGCUUCCAAAAAAAAAAAAAAAAAAAGCCAAUUUGAAGUUUUUAGAAAUAGUUCAAGGACUUGAUCAGUCUACCCAUUGGAUUUCUCUACUCCUCGUAACACCCAACCUAAAAGAUCCAAUGCAUCGCCCUAACAUUAAAAGUCAAACGUGUCACCCACAAAUUAUCAAUUUUUUUUUUUAAUGCAGAAACUUGGACUAUUUCUUUCUUAUGUUAAAUUAAAUAGUUGAAAUUAACCUAAAAAUAAAUUAAUAUGACACGCUGAUAGUGAUAAAAGAAUGUAAGAAACAUUGACAAGAAUUAAAGGAACUUAAUCAUGAAGCAAUCCAGGUUUCACACUGCUUACACGUUGAUUAUUUUUAUGAAAGACGAUAACAUAGUAUUAAACAAAGUGAGCAAGCUUUACAGUAAUAAUCAGACAUUUUUUUUUUCCUUUGGGAUGGAUCCUCUAAAUCAAUUGAAUUCAAGAUUUCAAGCUUGGCUAUCUUAUCAAGUUGAACAAUAAUAUAUUUUAGGGAAAAGGGGAGCUCCACACCAAAUCUGGUAAUUGAACAAGCAAUAUUGCCAUCGUUUUCCACAAAAAAAGAAAAGAAAAGAAAAGAACAUGCAAUAUGGCCCACAAAGAUAUUAAAAAUAACUUCCAGUCACACGCUAAGCCAGCAAACAAACUGGAAAAAAUCCUAAAGAAAUAUGCCAAUUUGGUACCUAAUGCUGGCAAUAAGUCACCCCAUUUGCAAGCAUAGGGCCCGCGGGCCUACACCACCACAGAUUUCAAAGUGCAAAAUAGACACUAGCACAUGGGUGGACAAGCCCUACAACAAUCCCUUGACAGUUUUAUUAUCUUUAGAAUCAUUCCAGCUGGAGUACAACGCUAUACAAGAUGGACAUCCAAACUGAAGACAUGCUUACAAGUUGAUGAUGAUAGUGGCGUAGAAAAUAAGGUGGCUACUAAUCCACCAACGCAGACAGAGAAAGCAAGAGAGCAAAAAGGAUUUAGUCCUGGAAGGUAUAGGAGACUUUAAUUAUGAGAGAGCUGUUUUUGUUUACUUCCGAGUAGAUUUUAAUAGAUGUAUUAAGCAUGGUAACGACCAUUGGAAGCAUAGCGCGAACAUUUUAACAUGAAUGACAGAUGCAAGAAAAAAAAAAUAGAGAAACUGCAAGACAUAGCAUUUCGACACUUCAUCCUUUAAAUACACAAAUUCAAGCAAUUAGUGUUCCGAUUACCACAACCAUAUCUAUUAGUAUGUCUGUCAAGGUCAGUUAGUCCAACAGCCAAGCACAACCAGAACAAUCACAAACUUCUACCACUCUCCGGAACACCUACCGACUCACUAUAUCGCUACAGCAUUUCUUACAUGAAACUAUAACAAUAUCCAUGGCAGAGUAACCAUGACAACUCACAUUGCCAGAGAAAAAAUAUAUCUAUAUAUACUUCAUUACCGGAUUAGGCAGUUAUCACGGGUUUACUGGGCCUUUUUCCUUCCAUGGCAUCCUUCUUCUUACGACAGGUUGCACAAAGGAAGGGCCCUUCCCAUGGCUUUGAUCCAGGUGAGAAAAAAGGCCCUGAAUUAACAGAUAAGCCAUCACCCGGCUGCUGAUCCACUUGGCAUAUCGCACAUUUGAACAGCCCAGAAUUUGAGUUCAAAGGAAAAUCCUUACCUAACCUGCAUGUAGUCAAGAUGAACAGAGUUUAAAAAACAGGCAUAACGCAACAUGACACAUGUGGCCUUUUAACUCAGGAUUGGGGGGAAAGAUAGUUUCGCAUUAAUUAAAGCAGCUAUAUGUUUGAGGACGUACAUGCAUCUCCACGAGAUAAAAACUCAGUAGCCCACCAAGUGUGGAGUUGGAACAAAUAGCAAAACCAUAAACAGAUUGACACUUCAGGUCUAUCAUUCACAAAAAAUCAUUUGCCAGGCAUCAACACAAAGACAAUUAAACAGAUUUCUGUAAAAAUUAUCAACAAGGAAGAAUAGUGGCAUUUUUCCAUCCUCAAUUCAUAAAAAUACCCAAGAAUAUCAACUCAUCCACCCUCUGAGAAGUCAUCAAUUUACUACCCAGCUUCAGAGAAAGGAAACCAGCAUUAAAUAGCACUUUUAAAUUAGAACUUUUAGCUCAGCAACAGCCAGUGAGUUAGGACAACUUCAAAUGCAAUCAUGGGGCAGUUUAACCCAAAACGCAAUAAUGAAGAGUUUGUGCAUUUGAUCAUCUGUUGCAGGAUACCACUUUGGAAGCCAACCAGACCACACCGGAGCUAAAAAUAGAGUAUGCAAACCUUUCGUAUCAUCAAAUUCUGGGCAUAUUUUUCACCAGUCCAAAGAAAAGAUGAUAGACAAACCAUACUUUUAAGCUUCUGAAUGCAAGAGAAGAUACACUUCUAUAUCCAAAGAAAGUAAAAUUUGAAUGAGGCCUAAGAAGAAGGAAUGACACAUAAGGUUCUAUACACCCCAUGUAACAGAAGUUCAACAAUAGCCUGUAGGCACUGCUAGAUUUUGACGGCUCAAUUAGAGUUAUUGAGGUAUUGAACAAAAUUAUCUUCAUAUUAAUAAAGAGCAGAGACAAUAUGUAAUAUAGUAUUGGUCACCCAGCUUGCCCACAUCUAUAGGUUCCAUCAUGAAACCAAAACCAGAGCACAAUGUACUCCUAAGCACCUAGGCACCUUUAAAUAAUAUGUGCUCCAGCAAAAAUGAAAAUUGAGUAGUAAUAAGGAUUACCAACACAAAAGAUCCUGCACCUACAACAUUCACUUAUAAUUAAACCUUAACUUCUGCAUGCUAGGUGUCUCUUCAUUUGGAUAAAAUUAAACAUCCUACUCUCAUUUCAUAAGGCUUACAUGAAAAGGAAACUUCAGUACCUUUCUGCAAGCAUUGCAGAGCCUUCUUCAAACAAUUCCUCCACAGCCCCAACGGCAGAGAGCUUACUACUUCCUUUGUUCAUAGAAUUCUCGGACCUCUUCCCAAAGAAAAGUGAAUUAAGAAGUGUAUGUUUCUUUUUAGGAGUUGGAGGCAAGACAGGGUGAUCAUAAGGAAUAAUAUCAACAACCAAGCAGGUAGUAUCAUCCUUCAGACCUCGUGACCUAAGAGCCUCCUGAAUGUCAAAAGUAAGCAAGAAUUAGUACAAAGAACUAAGUGAAAGAGAAAAGAACUUCAAAUAAUGAAAAAAAAAAAACUCCAUCUCACAUCACCUUAACAACUAAUUUUGCAGCAAGAUCGGCUGGCAAGCCCCGGCAAGACUGCGCAGCCUGAUCAGAUGACAAUGCAUCCCAUAUACCAUCAGAGGCAAUUAUAAGUCUUCCUCCAGCACUGGAGAGCUGACAACCAAAGGAAGUAUGGUUAAGAAACAUACUAACAAAGAAGAAAAAUGAUUUUACAACAAAUACAAACCUUCACUUGCUUAACAUGAGGAACAGGUACAAUGAAUUCUCCAACAUCCGUGUCACCAAUUGACCUGGAAAGACACAAUCCACCUGGCCAGCAUCGCAAUGGACCAACCUAGAUACCAAAAAGAAGUUUUGAUUCCAAAUGGAUCAUUUGGUUGACUAAAUUUGUCAGCUAUAACCUAUUUCAAUGCCAAAUAACUAACAUAUCGCCCGUACCUCAUUUCCCCCAACAUUAAGCCUGCCAACUUCACCACCACUAGCAGUAACACGCUCUCGUUCUUCAGCAUUUUCUUCCAAUCUAUGGUUACCUGUUAAAAGAGAAACCACACCACCUUGUGUAUCCAAUAUGCACCUAGAAUCUCCAACAGAUGCAACAGUCACAGUCCACCCAUCAAUCACGACAAAUGUAACAGUUGUUCCUGAUUUCUCACCUGUUAUACAUAUCAAUCACCGAAAACUGAGAAACCCAUCAAGGUAAACGGGAUGGAUCCUCCAAAAAUCUAAUAGUAGGUAUAAAAUGAUACGUACCUCCUUGCCGAAAUUCUAUAUCAGUUUUCACAAACCCAGCAACCAAUGCACGAGGAAGGGCUUGAAGCCACUCCUCCCCACCAAGUCCUUCAGGUAUAGCACUCAAAACAUUUUUUAACAAAUUCUCUUUCGCAAAGAUAGCAGCCGAUAUACCAUUAUGGCCAUCGAAAAUCUACAAAACAGAAGCCACACAAUCAGCAACCCCAUUUACCAAAGUCAUACACUCCUUAAAAAAAAAUUAAUAAAAGUUGGUAAUUACCGCAAAAACCGAGAAAGAAGUCGACUGAUUGUCGACAACUCUCUGACAAUCUGGCUUGAUCAAAAAAUAGUCCUCCCCUUUUUUGGCCAGAGCAGUCUGCCCAUACUUGACAGUGCGCUUCUCCACCUUCUCAUUCCUGAGCUCACGACCAAUCAGAGCCCCAAGAGGAACAAGUGGUGGCUUUUGCUUCAUCUUCGAAAUCUCCGCUUUACUCAUUCUAUUUUUCGUCCCAAUAGUGCCAAAGCCUCAUUGUCCCCACCCUAUUAACCCAAAAAAAAUAGACUAUAAAUCACAAAACGCAAAAAUUCAUUUUCUUUGAACCAAAUCAUCGAACAAUUGAGAAGCAUUUUACAAAAGACAAGGAAUUAAGCAAAACCCGGCACACAGAUCAACAGAUGAAUUACAAUGAGAGCUUAAUUCUUCAAUCAACAGUCAUACAUCAAUCUCAUAUACUACUACAUUACCUUCAUAAAUCAUAAGAAUCUUUUGGAAACACCAAAUAACAAAAAGAGAAAAGGAAAUUUUGUAUGGAAAAAUACAAAAAUGUGUAAAGAAGAACAUCAGGGGGGAGAGAGAGAGAGCCUACACUUACAGAGAAGGCAUUGAGGGGAAAUCAAAUUGAGAAGGAAAUAGAGCAACAGCUGGAAGAUGGUGGAAACUGCAGUACCAGUAGCAGAUUAGUAGAAUGUAUGGGGUGGACUGGAUUGGGGAUAUUUGGAAACCCUAGAUAGAGUGUGAGUGUUUGUGUGUGUGUGUGUGUGUGAGAGAGAGAGAGAGAGAGAGAGAGGGAGAGCGUGUGACUGGGUUGUAUUUUUGUGUCCGAGAGGAGUGCUAAGCUGAGCUGAGCUGAGCUGAAUCUGUGAUUUGAUUUGGGUUGGGGCGAGAGAAGAAAUCUAGAGACGAGGAGAAGACGCGGAGAUUGGGCACGAAAAAUAUAAUGUGAAAGAAAAAAGGAGGGAAUUGAUGGGUUCAACCCAAGUGUUAUUUAGAUUUUGACAUAUAUGUUUUUAAAAAUUUUUUUGGAUAACUUGUUUUCCUUUUUUUCUUUUUUUAAGCGGGGGAUGUGUGUUUGGGGGGGGGGGGGGGGGGGGGGGUGGGAUUGGAAAAUGACAUUUGGUAAAAGGGUUUCGAAAUGGAAAAUUGGAAUAAAUCCCAUGAUUCAUAUUUGAUUCAUUAUUAUCGGAAUUGAAAUUUUCGAAUGAUGUCUAAAAAUUCAGCAUUCCACCGUUCCUUAGUAAAUUGAUUCCACCAUUCCUUAGUAAAUUGGUGGAUUUUGUCCAAAACCCAAGUGUGAUUCCCAAAUCUUAUAAUUACAUAAUAUUUAGUAUAAUUAAUAUUUAUAUAUAUUAUAUAUUAUAUAUUUAUAUUAUAAUAUAUACAUAUAUAUAUAUAAUUUAUUAUAAGUAUAAUAUUUUAUUAUAAUAUUUGUAUAUUAUAUAAGUGUAUAUUAUAAUUAUUUAGUUAAAUAUAAUUAUAUUUAUAUAAUAUAUAUUAUAAAUUUAGUAAUAUUAUAUAAUAAUAUAUUUAUAAUAUAUAUGUAUAUUUAUAAAUGUAUAUUAUAUGUGCAUAUAAUUAUAAUAUAUACAUGUAUAUAAUAUUAAUAAAUUAUAUAAUUGUAAUUAUUAUUUUAAAUAUAAUAAUAUAUAAUAAUAACUAUAUUUAAUAUGUAAUAUACAUUAUAUUUAUAUAAAAUAUUAGUAUAAUUAAUAUUUAUAUAUUUAUAUUAUAACAUUUCUAUAAUUAUAAUUAACUAUAUAUAUAAUAUUUAAUUUAAUUAGUUACAAACUUAUAAUAAUGAUAUUAUUAUAUUAUAUAAUUAUAUAUUAUAAUUAUUUAGUUAAAUAUAAUUAUAUUUAUAUAAUAUAUAUUAUAAAUUUAUCAAAAUUAUAUAAUAAUAUAUUUAUAAUAUAUAUGUAUAUUUAUAAAUGUAUAUUAUAUGUGCAUAUAAUUAUAAUAUAUACAUGUAUAUAAUAUUAAUAAAUUAUAUAAUUAUAAUUAUAAUUAUUAUUUUAAAUAUAAUAAUAUAUAUUAAUAACUAUAUUUAAUAUGUAAUAUAUUAUAUUUAUAUAAAAUAUUUGUAUAAUUAAUAUUUGUAUAUAUUAUAUAAUUAUGAUUAUAUAUUUAUAUUAUACCAUUUGUAUAUUUAUAUUUAAUUAUAUAUAAUAUUUAAUUUAAUUAAUUACAAACUUAUAAUAAUAUUAUUAUUAGUUAUAUGUAUUAUAUAAUAUAUAUUAAUCAAUGUAAUAUAAUUGACAUUAUUAAUUAUACUAAUAAUUAUACAUGUUUACUAAUAGAAAUUAUUAAUUAGUUAUACUAAAUUUACCAAUAUAUUUAAUUAAUGAAAAUUUCUCAUAUCCCAUUUACAAAGAGUCAACGAACCAAAUAUCAACUAUAGUAAUGAUAUACAUUCCUGGCACUUAACCAAAUAAAUGUAUUGUAAUAAUUGAUUCAAUUCCAAAUCCAGGAUGAAUGAUUCCGAAUCCGAAUCCGAUUCCAACAUGCGAACCAAACGUCACCUGAAGUUAAAAGAGCAAUAAAUUACUAAAAAAAAACUCAUUUAAAGUAAUCCCUUUAUAGAACAACAUACCAUGAGCUCGACUUAUACUUGUAAAAAAAAUUGAUAAUUCAUAUGUAAAUAAUUCACAUUAAUUAACUUUAGCUUAAAGAAUAAAUAAGUUGAAUUUAGAUACAAUUUCAAUCUUGUUAAACAAAUCCAUAUGGUAAGGAUUAAUUUUUUAUGUACCAAUUGCGUAGUGAUUAUAAAUGUAUGUCACAUAUGCAUGAUUUGAAACUCAAAUUUAAAUUUAUGUUAAGUGGCAUAAUCUAAACCUACUAAUAUAAAAAAAUUUAUAUGCUUGAAAGGUAAUAGUGUGGACUUAAUUAGACUCCUUUAUGCUACUAUUAAUAGUCCAUCUCCAAGUUUAAUUUGCUUUUCUUCCUGGUAUUUAUGGCCAUGUUUAAUAACCUAAUUUAAUAUUUAAUUUUAAUAAAUUCAUAUCUUAAUAUAUUCAGAUGCAUUUAAUAACCAAAAAUUGAACAUCUAAAUUAAUUAAGUAACACUGAAUCUUCUAGGCAAAACUUGCUUCUAAAAAUGAGUAAGAAAGUAUUUACAUAUCAUUGAAAAUGAUAUACAUUCAAAUGUAUUUGAUUUAAAAUUAAUAAUUUAAUAGAUUCAGAUUUUGCUUUUAUCAAACACACCUAUGUCUUUUUUCCUUGUCUCAAAUCAAAAUAUUCUUUUCGGUAAAAAUGGACUAUGAUCCCCUAAUCAUUGAUCAUUGAUACAUGUUGAUGUAUUUAUCUCCUAUUUGGAUUGCAAUUUUUUGAAGUUUUGUAAAAAAUAUGCUGUAAUAUUUGAUAUAUAUGAGAUAAAAAGAUGAUUGAGAAUGGCUUUGAUAUAUAUUUGAAAAUGGCUUUCCAAACAAGGCAUUAACUUUUUGAGAAAAUUACUAAAUAAAAAUUUUCUCAAACUAAUUUUUGGCUAGAAGCUUUAAAUUUUUGGUUAAAAAAUAACAAGAAACAUAUAAAAUUUCUUGGAGUUAUAGUAAUUUGUUGAGCAAUAAUGAUAUAAGAGUAGAAUUUCUUUUUUAAAUAUGAAGACACGAUCUUUAAUGAGAUUUUGUUGUAAUGAUCUUUUUAAAACUAGAGAAUCUAGAGAUUACAAUAUGCACAGAGGAGAAUUGUAGCGAUUUAUCUAUUAGAAGACAAUUAUGAAAAUUAUUGUAUUUUUUAAGUUUUAUUAGUAAUUUUUUCAAAUUUUAUUGUAUAUAUUGAAUUGUAAAUAUGUAAUUUUUAUUACAUAUUUAACCCGUCACUAAGAUAAUAAUAUAAAUCAAAUCAUGUUGGAGGAUUUCAAGCAAUCUGUUGAUACAAUUUUUUUUAUCAAAACAAAAGGAAUGAGAUUAUGAGAGAUAAUUGCUAAUGGUGGUUGAUUGUGAUGUGUUGAAGUCCACCUGCUGGGACCGGAGUAUUCUAAGGCUGUCAUGGAAUUUUGUGGAAAACUAUGUAACGUGGGGGACCACGGGGUGCAACCACUCCUAGCAAUUUUGUGCAUUUUGCACACCGCUUAAUUUUGUUUGCACACUGCAUAACUUUAGAAUAAAUUUUUUUGGAUCCCACACACGUUGUUAAGAACGAGAUAUAAGAAGUGAUCUGGACCGUAUAAUUUUUUUGGGCCAAAUCAUGGUAGUGCACUGUGCAGGGACGAUCCUUCUGAUGACCGCCCCUGCCCCGUCUCCGUAAGGCGGGAUUUUCUAACAAGCGUCUGGUGGAAGACAAGUACACAACAUAAUUGUGUUUUAUAAGGUUUCAUCUAAUUAUAUAUAUGUUUAAAUUUUUAGUGUAUAAAUAUAAGAUAAAGUUGUACUAAAUAUAUGUCAAAUUUUUUAUUCAUGAGUCUAUUUAUAAAAAGCAACUCACGACAUUCGUAACCAAUAAAUACAAAUGUGGAAAUCCUAAAAUCAAGAAGGUGAGUUAUCCCUUAAUUUAUUUUUGUCCCUUAGUAUAAGAUUUCCCUCUAUUCAUGUACAUCACUUUUACCUCAAAUAGAAAAAAAGGUACAUCAAUCUAACAAUAUAAAAAAGUACAACAAUCGAACCAUACCAGAUUCCAACCGCACUGCCCCUUUCUUGUCUAGUAAAAACUAACAUAUCUAAAUUAUUAUGCAAGUGCAUCUAUUACUAAUUAUUGCCCUGUAUUUGAUUUUUUCUAAUAGUACAGAAGUGAGAUUUAAUAAAUAAAGAGAGAUAAGAGAUUCAAACUCAUGAUCUUUAGAUCUUGAGACCUCAACUAAACUAUAGUCACUAAACCAAUUGUUGUUACCAUAUCUUGCAUUUUUAUACUUUCCCUAUCACUCUCUAUUUUUUCAAAAUAUCAAUACUAAACUCUAUUUAAUAAAUACUCGUUAAAUAGACCCUUAAACAAAUUAAUUCUCCCAAAUUAUGGCAAAUAUAUAAGUAAAUAUUUAAUAUCUCUCUCCUUUAAACGUUGGUCGUGUUUGGAUUGCAAUUUUUUGGAGUUUCUUUUGUAGAAAAUGUAGUAUAGCGAUUUGAUUUCUAUGAAAUAAAAAGGUGAUUAAAAAAUAUGUUCACUGAAAACGUAGAGAUUUUUGGUGGAAAAUCUCUUUCCUGAUAUUUUCUGAAAACUACAGCAAAUGAUAUUGCUAUAAGCCCCUCCCCCGCCGAAAAAAGUUAGAGGAAAAAAAUGAUAUUGUUAUUUAGUUUGUCUAACAAGUGUUCAUAGGGUACUCAUUAAGAUAUAUUUCAGGUGCUAUAUUUUUUAAAAUAUAAGAUUAAUUAGAAAAAAUAAAAAAAAAUACAAGAGAGGCUAUGCAAGAUUAAAUAGGGAAAGUAUAUAGAUACAAGGAAGGAUAAUAAUUUUUAGCAUAUAUAUAUAUAUAUAUAUAUAUAUGAUAGGUUAGGUGAAUGCUAAUUGUGUUGACAAUUACCUUAAGGGCAGCGGUUAGUCAACCCAUUGUUAUUAGCCAAAUUUUAUUGCUACAGCAAUGUUGUUUUCAAUGUCCAUAUCACCUUUACAAGAAUUGACUUACUGCUGUGACAAGGUUAUUAAUAGGUAUUAAAAAAAUUGGUUCUGACAUUUACGCAAUUGUUGCUGUGGCGAUAAAACCAACCAAUGACUACAUAUUCAUACACAGAAGUAACAUCUGACCAUUCGGCCGUUUUACUAUUUUUGAAUUCUAUUUAAAUUUUUAUUACUCCCUCCGUCCCACUUUGAUAGUCCUGUUUUCCUUUUUUGUCUGUACCAAAUUGCAGUCCACUUUCCAAUUGAAGAAUGUAGUUGUAUUUUCAUUUUCCUAAAAUACCCUUAUUCAAUACAAGUUGUUGUUGCUAUAAACCUACCCCAUUUAAUGAGAGUUGAUUCUUUUUUUACCAUCAAUUCAAGUUCCUAUAAAGUUGUACUCUAUUUAAUGUGAGGGUAUUUUAGGAAAAUAGCAAUCUAAAUUUACUUUUCCAACAAAGUUAACUACUUUUUCUUAAACUGUGUGAAAAAAGAAACAGGACUAUCAAUGUGGGACGGAGGGAGUAGUAUUUUUCACUAUUGUGAACUCAAACAGUAAGUGUGAGUGUGAGGGCCAGUUACAAUUUCAAUGAGUUAUAUGGUGUAUUGAAUUCAUAAUUGUGGAUUAUACGGUUGAAACCGGCUGUUGGGCGAGACGUUAAGGGUUCAAAUAUUGCCUCCCACCACUUGCCAUUAUACGUGAUUGUCACUUUAAAUAGUUUAAAUCCAUGUCUUAAAAGACAAGUGCCAAUUGAUAAAAAAAAAGAUUAUACCAGUUGAAAGAUGCACCAAAUUACUUAAUACUAAAAAUCAAACUUAGCCUAAUAAGAAUUUGUUCGUGUUGGUUAAACUUUAUAACUCAACUCAAAGUUGGCUCGAUUAGCAUAAAAUUUGGUAUUUAUGGAUUCGAUUUGAUAAAAACUCAUUUGAGCUCUGCUGGACGAAUAAUCGAGUCAAGUAACAUAUAAAAACCAUGAGAGGUAAAUUUUCCCACUCAAAAAUUCUCUAACCUGGCCCUAGUCAUAUCAAUAUCAGAGUUGAUGGGUACCCAAGAUAUAUUACAAGCUAAUUGGUUGAGCUGAUACGGAAUCAUGCUGAUGAGAUACAUAAACUUCUUGUAAACAAUGAUUAGAUCCUGCCUUCUGUACGAAAUGGUCGGACUUAAGUGCCAUUUGGACGACAAAAUGUCCUUCACCGAUUCCACUUUCCAUACAAGCCAACCAUAUACCUUCUUGAUGCGUAACAUUGGCUAUUUGGCUUUGCCUUUUGGGAUGAAAAAAAAAUGAGAAGUUUUUCCAAUCUUUAAGUACCUGUUAAAGUUGAGGUAAAUAUAAGAUGAACCUGACACAACCUCGAAGACACUUUGAAGGAAUACAACCGGCCAAAUGAUUAGUUUAAUUUUAAUGUUAUAGCAUACGAUACUAUGAAAGAUGGCAAAGGCAAGCUCUUGCAUCAAUGACUUCCAUUACCAAACUACACAAAUUCUUCUAAACACAACAUGGUACUACUUGUGACGAUGCAAUCCACAUCUAUGAAAGAAUUUUUUUGGUCUAUUAAAAUUAAAGAGAACGAGUGUUGAAUGAUUUUGUACUGAUCUUGAAACAAGAGAUAAAUCCCUUUUUCUUUUUUUCUUUUUCUUUCAGAACCCUUUUGUUCACCUUCUCAAAAAAUAAAGUUUGUCUGUUUGGAUUGCAAUUUUUUUGUAAUUUUUGUAGAAAAAAUAUAUAAUGAUUUGAUAUAUGUGAGAUGAAAAAGAUGAUUGAAAAGUAUGUUUACGAAAAACGUAAAAAAUUUUCGAUGAAAAAUGGCUUUCCAAACAAUUAAGCUCAAAAUGUCAUCAAAAUUGGCUUUCGAGACAUUUUGUUCUGUCUCGAAAUGGCAAAAACCUCAAAUAUAAGAGAAAAUGAACAAAGUGCCGUCAAUUUACAGUGGAGCAGAGAUGCAAUUUGAUUUGGAAAUCUUCUUUAAUUGAGCUCAAAGUCUUCAUUGCAUUAUCUAUACAGAGAGCAAUCUCUAGAAUUUUUUACUCACAACAACCUCAAAUGUUCAUAAUGUCGUCUACCAAACCAACAAGUGUAGUGCAUUAAUUCCGAAUCAUUUGAGACAAAAUCCUCGUCAACAGGCCUGCAAUCCCGAAUAUCUCCAAUCUAUUGAUACUAAUAAUUAGAAUGUCUAAUAUUCAUUGUAAUAGUACAAGUUGCCCUUUAAUUAUGUACGUUCAGUUCCAGAUGUAUGUAUUGUAUUCUUUGACAAUUAGCAUAAUUGUUGCGUACAUUGCAUGUUCUCCAAGGUUGAUCUACUUCAUAUUAGUGAUAUUACUAUUAUGAUUUCUAGUUGUUUAUCUCUAAACUCCAUCCUUGAUCACACAUUUAGGAGUUGGUAAUGCAUUUCUGAGUUGUCAGACAUUUUAUAAUUCCAAAAUAAUUUCCGGGUCACGAAUUUCAAUUUUUUAUUCAUUUUCAUUUUUAAUGCAUUUUGUGAAAUGUUCUAAAACCAAAUGUUUUCAAUCUGUGAAAUCGUCUGGAACUGUUGAUUGAACUGUGAAGUUUAAUUUCAGAUUGGCAGGAUUCAACUUCCUUGUUUUGAAGCAAAGGAAAAGCUAAAGUCUCUCUUUUUUUUUUUUUUUUUUUAUAACUAGUAAAAAGGGUUAACUGCAGUUUCCAGUUUUUCAAUUUUUAGUAAAGGGGAAAAAAUUUAUCUCGGAGGAUAACGUUUGCAGUAAUUUUUUUAUGCGCACUGCACUGUUAGUGUAUACACGAGCGGGUUUAGAUGUAUGGCACAUAAUGUGAUUUCAAAUUUGAAAUUCACUUUCUACAUAGGUGACAUAUAUCUACACUUGUUAGUGUAAAAAAUUCACUACAUUAACAGUGGAUAAAAACUUAAUUCUAACGUUUAAAUGUCCGAAUUAGGGUGAAGUUUGCCAAACUCUUUUACUUCCACCUUUUACUUGAGGACAUUUAUGUGCAUUCCUGGCAAAACAAGGGUGGGAAAAAAAAUUCCACUUAGGACAACUCUUUCUCCAUAAAGAUAAAAUAAGAUAGUUAUAAAUAAAUUAUAAUUUUACAAACUAUGUCAUGGAUGGUGAAAAUUACAAUUGAAUAACACUACAAAUUAACCACAAGCAGGAGAAGAUAACAGAGUACAACUAUAUAUUACAUAGGAAAAAUGUAAAAGGGGUGCCUUACUUGUUCAAUUGAUCGCAUUGUAGAAGUCCCAAGUUUCAACUCCAUUGACCCCGAUUUUUCUUUUUCUUUUAAUAAGAAGCAAAUUUUAUUAACGGACUGUUGAAAAUCGUUUAGCACGGUUUGAUUUAUAUCACUGUCCAUUUUUUUGCGUCACUGUUUUUAAUGACAUGCUAAACAUGUAAAAAGAAGAUUAUCAUGAGAAUGACAAGAAAUUAAAAAUCAUGAAAUUGUCAUAAAGGAAUGGUAAGAAAUCAAGUACUAAUUUUAUAUACUACCAAACAUCGCAACAACACCACAUUUAAAGGCAUUGUACUUAAACCAAAGUCUCUUUGAAUAUGCCUUGACAGGCGAACCCAUAAGGAUUAUCCAAACUAAUAAAGGAAAAGGGAAUCAAGAAUUGCAGGCGUGAAUGAUUGGCCAUGAAUGGCGGAGGUCGUGAUGGAACCAUGCUGGCUUUGUUUUUAAUUUUUCUUUUCUUUUUUUGGUAUGGAUUUACACUUGAUCAAUAGUUAAUUUUUUGGAUUAUUUGGAACAUAUACCUAAUAUCAGAGGUUUUUUUUUUUUUUUUUUUGAAAUGUUCAUCAUGCAUCAUUCUAAAUCAGUCUCUAGGCAUCAGCUUUCAGUUGCUAAUUUUUGGGAUACAAUCACACUCAAACCAAUUGAGCUUUUCCUAACAUCAUGGAAGUGGUGGACUACAUGCUUGAAGGUCUAUUAUCCACUUGUGAUAUAUUAGAUUUGGCUUUCUGGAUUUUUUUUUUUUUAAAUAUUAAUCUCAUGGUCAAUGACUCAAUGAUCUAUCUCAAUGAAUGCAAAACUGCUGUAACUAGAUGCAGAAAUAUGCACCAACCAUGCCUGGUGGUUUACUCAUCUCCUAUUCCCCUCCUGCUCGAACAAUCUUGCUGAAUAUGGUACAUACAACAGAAAAAGAGAGUAAAGAACAGACGACAUAAAUGAUUUCUAUAUCAGUUUUGUUCUUAUCCAUAUAUUCUCCCCAUUUCUGCUAUGGAGCCAAUAAGAAAGGCAGCAAAUUUACAGAAGGAAAAUCAAGAAAAACUACUAUAAACAACUAUGUAACACACUCAUCAGUGGGGCACCAAAAAUUUCAAGAUCACCACUGGACACUCCCAGUUACUGGAACUGUUUCUAUUACCACUUCAUGUCAUUUCUCUGUCUAUGUAUCUUCCUGUCUUUCUGUCUCUGUCUUUGCAAUCCACACCAGAAAGCUUGUGAACACGAAAAGAGAAAGGAAAGAGCAAGGAAACAAAAUCCCUCCGGAGAAACUGCAUGGCUGUUUUUAGCCCUUUCUAUUGCCCCAAAAGCAAAUCUCAUACCGUGUUUCUCACUUGCUGUUCCCUGCUUUUCUUUUUGCCUCACUGGAAAGUGCUUGCUUCCCAGCCUUUGUUAUUGGUGAAUUAAUCCCAUUGGAAAGUCUUCUUGAUGGUGGAGCAGGAAUUAAACUCCUAAUAACAUCAAAACGUACAAAUUAGACCAAUAUUGCACAAUUCUGAAGACACAAUAAACACCAGGGAAAAGUUUUCUUCAAUCCCUCAAUCACAUUUGGUCUUGUUACCAACUAUGCCUUCCUUAAUUUGAAAAUUGAUAAUCAUAUAUUUCCUGCUUAAGAAGUUGGAUUUGGAAUGAAACAUCUAUAUGCUUUCUAAAGGGGCUUUUCAUUUCAGUGGUCAAACCAGUGGCCAAAAGGGUGGAAAUAGAUUUUAAAAAGGAAAGACUGUCAUAGGAGUGUGAAGAGAAACAGGAAAGAAAAUUAGCUGCAAUACCUUAUCUCUGGAGAGCUCUUCACUUGUUUUGGACUAGGUUUCUUUAACUUUGACCCUGUGCUGUUGGACACAUUGGUAACUUUGUGAACAUUGGGUUGCCAAAGAAAAUCCUGCUCAGAAGAAUCACUGGUUGUAGCUUCUAACUCAUCAGAAUCAUCUGUAACCAUCUGAUUUCUACUGUUCUGUUUAUGAUAAAACAUGUCGGGUAGCUGUCUACUUUCUUCUUCCCAUGAUCCUAGCGUGUUAUCUCUUCUUCCACCUUCUUGCUUAAUAACCAUAACCUUGUCCACCCAAUCACGUUCUUUCUCAUCAUCCUUCAGACCAGGACUUCCAACAGGUGGCCAAGGAGGCGAGUUCAUUAGUAAGUCCUGGAGAUCUAAGCUUUUCCUUUUUGGCUUUGAUGCACAGUUAUUCAUAAUCUGCAGAUAGGAUUGCAAAUUGUCAAGCCUCAAUUCCAAUGUCAUCAACUGCCAUUGAUUAGAAAUGUGUAUAAAUAAAAGUAAUCUUCUAAUCCUCUGAGAAAUUCUUCAAGUCUCUUAAAUUUGCCAUCACUUUAAGAACCUGUCUGGGGUGGUUUCAAAGCUGUGUUGCCUUUGCAAGUUAUUGUUCGAUUUGCAGCUUCUGGAACAAAGAACGAAACAGAAAGACAGAGAAGGGCCGAGGAUGACAGGGGUCACAUUUGGAAAAGGAUAAAGGGAAAAGGAAAACAAUGACUGAGUAGAUGUGAGCAAACACAUUAAACCAUGUACCAGCAGACAACUCCUGCAGCAGAUUAAGUGCAUUGCUUCACCAAAAAUAAAACAUUUUUUGAAGAACUAUUUUUAAAGACAAAAGAAAAAAGAAAAAGAAAGUAGCGCAGAAACUGCAUAUACAAAGACUAUCAGUUUUGACCCUGACAACACUCCUCCUCCCCCUGCAGGGGAAAAAAUGGCAACUUGUUCCAGGAUGAAUAACCAAUAACUUGAAAAAAAUUCAAGCAGCCCAGUAAUCCAAAAUAUUGACAAUAAGGAAAAAAAUUUUCAGUUCAUACCUCUAGGUUAUCCAUGUCUUCUAUCUGUUGCUUAUGAUCACCAGAGAUACUUGAACUUUGCCAACUAGAGCGCGAAGGUGAAGAUCCAGCUGAAGACUUCAACCUGAAUCUCUCUGGACUGCUAGAUCCUGAGUACUGAAGGCGCACUGGUUCUCCUUCCUUUCUUGCUAAAGCCGCCUUAAGGCUAGCAAUCUGAAGAAAAAAAGCACAAUGAAAAUUUUCUUUUGGCGAGAAACUAAAAAUGAAAACCACAAGAAGGUGACUGCCACUUAUAAGAGAAGAAUGAAAGCAGUGGUAGCUCUAUGCAAGUUUUAUGAAUGAAAUGAAACAGUGGUAGCUCUGAGCAAGUUGUAUGAGUGAAAUAAUGAUAGAACUUCCUCUGAUCUUUUGUUAAAAAGACAGAGGACUAACGAGCGAGUUGGUUUAGAAGGACUCAAAGAAGUUAGAAUGAAGACCUGUUCUUUUAGCUCCUUCACAUCAGAAUUUUCUUUGUUUGCUCGAGCAGCACCAAGCUCAACAGAAGAAACCCGUUCUGCAAACUUAAGAGUGCUGAUCGUUUCUCCAAUAGCAUCAUGCUCAGGGGCGAUGUGAACAAACAUUAAUGUCUUUGCGUGCCCUCCUGAAAAUUUUGAAGGCCAAUAGCUAUAUUUAUGCAAGGAAAAAUAAAACAACCGCUUUAUGGAAAAAAACUAGAAUACCACAAAAUUACCAAGUGAAUCUUGCAGCAACUGUGUGAGUUUGCUGUUCCUGUAGGGAACAUGAGCAUUCUUUUGGGCGAGAGAAGAAAUCACAUCACCUAGUGCUGAAAGCGACUUAUUGAUGUGUUGAGCCUCUUUCAAUCGUUCACCCACUGCCUCAGUUUUUUCAACUCUUUCACUUCCUGCCAGGUCAACAAGAUGCAUGCAACCACGAAGGAGUGUACCAGACGACAAGUUUUUUCCUUGAACAUGAACCGUGAGACAACUGCAAAAUUAAGCCGAUGCAAGAUAAAGAUGCAGACCAGGAUAGCUGAAGACUCCCAAGCUCAAUGUAUCAAUUGAUUUCUUGCUCCACAAACAUAGAUAAAGCAUUAAAUCUCUUCCUUUUUAAUUAAUUACCACACAUAAAAGAAACACAGAGCACAUUGCAUGAACCUCCACAUCCAACAGGAUAAACAAAGGACUGUGUUGAAUGAUCAAUAAUUAAAGUCUAUACCUGUGAGAACGACUACUGCGAUCAUUCAUAGCUGUGGAACCAACUGCACGAUUUUUCUGUCCAAGGUUCAUCAGACUAAUGACAUCAGUAGAUGAUUUUACUGGCACAAGAUUUGCAUCUGGAACAUUUAGACCAUUUUGCGAACUGUUUCGAAUUUCUAAUGUUUGUAGGAGUUAAGGACACAAGUACAAUAUCAGUAAAACUUAUGUUGAUAAUAAUAAUAAUAGUUGAAGACACCAGCAUGUAAUAGAAAGGAUAUCUUUUGUUAACACCAUCAGCCACUAGAAGAUCCCUGACUUGCUCAUUGUAAAUUUCAAUCAUCUGAACUGAGAUAUCAUAGGAAAUCGUAUCUUUUCUUUGAUCUGAGAUCAUAAAUAAAUCACUCAAUGCCCGGUAGUUCACCCCCAUGGUUUUCUCUGUAAUAACGUCAGGUCCGGUCUGUUCAAAACCAAAUAAGUAGCAUUUGUCAAAUUAUAGGAAAAGAAUGUGCUAGAUGGAUGCAUUAAAUGCCUGAACUUUCAAGCACAGUAACCAUAGAAAGUCUAACCAUCGUAUGAGUUUUCCCAGAUCCUGUUUGACCGUAAGCAAAUAUGCAUACAUUAUAACCGUCAAGGACAGAUCGUAUUAGAGGUUGAGUGUCUGCAAAUACUUCCGCUGCAUAUUGUUUAUAUAUCCACAGAAAAUGAAAGAAAGAAUUAGUGCUAAAAAAUGGUUAUAAACAGGAUCUGUAAAGAAUGUAAAUUUGGAAACCUAGUGACCUUGGCUUGCAGAUGGACCAAAAGCCUUGUUGAAAGUGAAUGAUUUCCUCCCUUCUUUUCCAUAUUUGGAAGGGGUAAUUAUUGUAAUACUACCAUCAUCUAUGUGGUCCACAGAGCUCAGUUUAUUAGAUUGCCCUUUUACAGGUCUCACUCGACAAUAAACCCUAAUAUUUCCUGUACAGAAAUGAAAUCAUUGUAUGGUAUAGAGAAGUAUUGCCAUGAAGCAUAUAACUUCAACCAGAUAUUAAAAUGAUUACCUUUGAGGUCCUGCACUUGAUUGUAUAGCUUCCUAUUUUCUUCAAGAACUCUCUGAUAUCCUGAAGCAGCAUGGGCUAGGCUGCGCAAGUGCGUCCCUGGAAAGGAAAAUGGAGCAGUGACUUAUAGUUUCUUUUCUCAAUCUCUAUCGACAAAUAUCUACCAGCAGGAAACGGACCAUGUACCUAGGUUGCUAACUUCCUCAUUAUACUUCAUUUGCAGAAGGUUUAGGUCUGCUUUUGUAGAUUGGAUGGUAGACUUCAAUACCUAUUUAAAAUCAAAAUCAUCAUGCUAAGCACCAAAACUCACAAGCAAUUAAGUAUUUCAGAAUUCAGUCAUGCAGCAGCACACCUGAAUCUCUGUAUGCUGCUUCUCAACCAACUUCACUUGCCUCACCAGUGUCUGUUUAGGCUGUUUCUGGUUGUCUGAUAUUCCAUCAUCAGUGUCUUUUUUGUCACAGCAUUUUUUGUGUAGUAUUUCAGGAGGUGUCCUAGUUUCCAUCUUAACCAUUAAAACAGAAACAAACACAUGAUCCAUCUUAGAUAAGAUCCAUAAAAAUUCAGUUCAAGAUGAGUUAGAUAACCCACAAUUAGAUUUAUCUUAUAAAAUUCCAAUUGAAUUUGUGGAAAUAGGAUAAAAAUUGGAUACCUCCAUAGGAGAUGGUAUCAUUGGAGAUUCAUAAGAACCUGAAACAGCCUUAUCUCUUAAAGAUGCUUGUAUCUGCUAUACCACAAAAGACUCAAACCUAUCAAUAUUUAUUUGACUAGAUAACAGAAGAUCAAUUAUAACAACUUACAGAAAUAAGAAAAUGUCAACAAGUCAUCAAAAAAUUUGUUAGGCAAUAUAAUUGUCAUCUACAGUGGAAAUAAGAUGAGAUUGGGAUAAAAAUUGGAUACCUCCAUAGGAGAUGGUAUCAUUGGAGAUUCAUAAGAACCUGAAACAGCCUUUUCUCUUAAAGAUGCUUGUAUCUGCUAAACCACAAAAGGCUCAAACCUAUCAAUAUUUAUUUGACUAGAUAACAGAAGAUCAAUUAUAACAACUUACAGAAAUAAGAAAAUAUCAACAAGUCAUCAAAAAAUUUGUUAGGCAAUAUAAUUGUCAUUUACAGUGGAAAUAAGAUGAGAGGUUCAGCUAACCUGGCCAUUUUGGGUCGCUAAGCGGUGCUCAAAUUCCUCCAUAACUUUGCUUAGCAUGUUCUCCACAACCUGUAACAAAUGGAGGAAAUCUUCAAUCUCAAAAAGGGCACUUGGCAUGUAAAAUCUACCUUACCUAAAGAUGCAAGGGAGAAAUUCUUCACAAUGUCAAUGUGCUUUUAAAGUGGACUCUGUGACACAGGAAAGGUAAUCCGGCACAAAGGAUAUUUAUACUACAAACUCAUUAAAAAGUGACAUAAGAUAUAACCAUGUCAAGGAUCAAAGCAAUUGAUGCUAGUCUAUUAGGUUACAGCCGCAUCAUCUUCAUCUGGAUGUGUGAGAAUUCUCCUCUCAGGCAUGGGAUCUAAGAGGAAUGAUUCACAUCCUCAAAUAACAAAAGCUAGAAAGAAUAUAUGACAUGCUAACAUCUCAUAAAAUCAUUUUGUCAGAAAAAUGCUAUUUUUGCAUUUUUUUCAAGUGUGCUUGUCUCUUAAAAUUAUAUUAGAAAAGCAGACUAGUUAACAAUGAUGACUGAAUGCUCAGACAGGCAAAGCAAGGCCAUCAUGAUCAACCUAUGAGAUGAAAACCCUUUGCUAAAAAAUUAGAUGAUAACAAUAAAUAAGAUUUAAAAUGACUUACAAUUGGGAUAUCUUCCUGCUUCUUAUCCAAAAGAAGUUCACGGACAAGCAUGUUUAGAGAUGGAGUUUUACCCUGAAAAUGAAAAUGCAGAAGAAGAUUUACAUGCUAUUGGUAUAACAUAGUGAAAAUUACAUUUGCAACUUGGUAAAGUAACUUACCAUUUCACUGUUUUCCAAUCCUAGAUCACUGAAUGACAACUGCUCACUCAAUGACCUAUCAAGGGUUUUGUCACUCAUGGACGAAGUCCUUGAUACGGAAUUCAUGAAUGGUUCUGAAUUUCUCAGUACAAAUUGCUUUCCAGAUGGGGCAGCUUUGACAUUUCCAAAUUUCCACGAUCCAUUUGCACCUCCUUGUUUCCAAUCACUAUAUGAUUUCAGUGCUAGUACACAAUUCACCACUCUUGAGGCUUUCCCUCCCUAAGUAUUGAACACAUGGGAAAAUUUGUCAUGGAAGACCAAGCAAAAUGACGGAUUUUGCAGCAUAUAACUGUGAAAUUGCAAUUCAUGUGAGCAUUUUGCAUCAAAUUGGAGAAAUUGAUUAUCUCCUACGUGUAUUUUGAGAAGUAGUAGCCUGCAACUGCAAAGAUGACCCACAUACCUGUUCCAAAUCAGAGGCUUCAAAUGUAGGAAGCCCCAUCUCCUCUAUAGCUACAAGAAAGUUCCUCACAUUUUCAAAGUACUGGUAUGCUGAAAGUGCAGCCCCAUCAGGCACAUUAACAGAAUCACAAGGCAUUUCAACUACCUAAAAGCCAAAGAGAAAAGUAAAAAAUUCAUCAACACAUUGAACCACCAAACAAAAAAUAACACCGUACCAAAUUAAAAAGCUCAAUUAAUCCUACUUUUUGGACUGCACCAGGCUGAACCUUGUUUAGAACAUUGCAAAGUAUUAUUCCACUUCGCAAUCCGAGUCUAAAAUCUUCUUCUGAAGGCUCUGCCGGCAAAUCUUUGCCCCCAACAACUCCAACUGUCUUCCUCAACCAUCCAGCUGCUUCAUAUCUUCUCAACGCUACAACACCAUUAUACAUCCUCAGGUAACAAACACACAAAAAACAGAAACUAUGCACAAUACGAUGAAUCCACAAACCAAUGUCCACCCCACCCCAAUUAGCUAUGAUAACAUGGACAAUGCUGAAACACAAGUAUUCGACUGGAAUCUUUUGUACAUGUGAAAGAAAGUAAGCUGAUUCGGGUAGGUGAAUGUUACACUUACGAUCACAUAAAUACACCUCAUACAUGGAAAGAAUGCAUUACAACCCACAAGAAUAGAAUCGCGUCAUUUUUUAGAAGAUUAAAACAUGGAUAGGAUAAACACAAAGAGACGGAGAUUAAUGAACAAAAAUAGAGUGCAGAAUACAAUAAAGACAUGAAUUUUGAAAAUGAUCAUACAAGCUUCCUCAGCCUUUCUUGAAGCCAAAUCAAUGUCAUUAAGCCUCUUUCCAUGCUGAUGAAGAACGUUCUCCACCAUUGACGCCACAGAAAAAUCCAGUAAUUCCUCUGUAGCCAUUGUUCAAUUGCAGAAAGAAAAACUUGAUCCUUGAUCAAAAACCUCAAGAACAAUUCAAGAAUCCUAACCUUUCAUCAUCCCAAAUCUCCAAAACGGCCACAAUGCAUGCCUAUAUCACUUUCCAGUUUGAAUCUUUUAUAAUUAUACGUCAAAGAAAAACAGAGGCUUGUCAAGGGAAGAAGAUGAAUGUUCAGAGGAAAAUGAAGGGCCAGUUAUAGCAACGCAGGAGAGAGAGAGAGAGAGAAAAAGAAAAACCGGGAUGUGUUCUUUUUCUCCCUUUCUUUCUUUCUUUUUCCUUUUUUUUCUUUGAGUUGUAUUUGAAAAUUCGUCUUUUUUGAAACUGUAGAAUAGUUAAUACUCUUUGUCCUCUACAUUGCUUGGGAGGGGACUGUUGGGGGACGAUCCUUUUCUUUUUAUUUUCUUGUUAUACUUUUGUGUUUAGAUGCAGAGAAAGGUGGCGGAGGGAAGAAGGGAGGAAGGCAAAUGGGAGUAAACCAGAAGGCCGAGGCAGUUUCCUAGCCUUGUGGUUCGGGCUCUUGAUGGUUUAUAUUCCACCUGUUUUGGAGAGAGAAAUGUCACCCAUAUUUUAGAGGGAGUAUUUCACUAACCAGAACUUUUUUCAUUUUUAUUUGGGAUAUCUUUGUUUCCAUUUUGCCCUUUGUUCUUUUUUUUAACCUUUUACUUUUCUUUUAAGUUUCUCAUACUAAUCUUAUGUAGCAUUAUAAAAUUUACUUCUUUAUUAGUGCAUUAUAAUUAGAUUUGGGUUAAUCCCCAUUUUUUUUUAAUUACACUAACUUUUAAAAGUGAGUUUACUUGAAGAGUUCGUCUAGACAAGAGGUUCAGCCGUUCAAGGUCAAAAAAGUCGUGAAUAAAAAAUCGAGUUCAAAGCAAUAAUUCAUGCAUACUCAUUUUUCAUUUAGAAUCAAAAUAGACAUGUUAUAGACUUUGCCCAUUUUUCUAGGGUCUAGAUAGCUUAAUUUAGCAAAUAGAGACAUUAGUCAAGCUAUUUUGAGGUUCUUGGCUUGACUUUUUUUUCAGAUCUUUUUCUUUUUUCCUUCCCUUUUGUAAGGUUUGGAGUCUACUUUUAGACACAAAAAAAAAAGGAAAAAAAAAAUUUCUUGGUAAUUCUAGCUAGUGGUCUAUUGAAAAGACUAGUUACACACCUAUGACUACCCUUUUUUUCUCUUUUUCUUCUCACAAUUAAUUUUAGAGAAUUAAAAAGCAUAUUUUUUAUUUUAUGAUAGAUGUUAGGGCAUUGUAGUCUAAUUGGUUAAUUUAUUCUAUAAUACCUGCAGAAAUUUGUGUAUUAAACCCUAGAAUAUGGCAAUGUUGAUCAACUAUGCUUUGGAUAACUAGGAAGACCACAACCACGAAUACUUGAAGGUGCUUUUGAAAGCAUUAGGAUAGAUGAUGUUUCUUUAACCAUGAAAACUUAUUGUUUGGAAAGGGAUUUUUCACCAAAAAAAAAAAUGUCUAUAUUUUUUGUGAACACAUUUUUUAAUUAUCAUUUUAUCUUAUAUAUAUCAAAUCGCUACAGUACAUUUUUUUUUAUAAAAACUCUAAAAAAUUGCAACCCGACACGACCUCACUAUUACUUUGUCAGAAUGUUGCUUAGACAAUGAUAAUGGCAUGCAUAUGAUGAAGAGUAUCAGUAGUUCAUUUGCAUCCUCUUAUGUGUAAACUCAAUAGUUUGUAAGUAGUAGCCAUAUACACAUUUACUCAGUUCAAAAAGCUAUUUAUUUCAUCAUCAUUCAUAAGUUUGGACCAAUUCUAGGAUUUCACAAACCUUUUAAUUGAGAAAGAAGAAGAAGUUAAUGCUUGUAAUGACAUGAUUAUCUAAAUCUAGUUGUAUUCUUGAGACCUAGACACUGAAAAGUUGUCAUCCAUGGUGAAUUUAUAACCACUUUCUUUACGUGAUUAGGUGGUUAACAACUUAAUUAGUCGCUAUACUGUUAUGAAGGUUACACAUCAGCCAAACGUAAAUUUGAAGUAAAAUCCAAAAAAAUGCUAAUAACAUCAAGCAGGAGAGGAAGUUUAUCCGAAAUCAUCUAAACGGAAAUCUUUCCAACUUUUGAUGUACUUAGCCAUAGAUUAAAAUUAUUAUAUUCCAAUGUGCCCUUAAAAACUUACUUCCUAAUUCAGUUUUUUUUUUUUUUUCACACAUGUUUGUUUAUUAUGGACUUUAAGUGCUAAGCAAUAAUAGCUUAAUCUACAACCUUACCAUUCUUAUUUAUUUUUGUUCAACUGAAUUAUAAUGAAUCAUCAAUACGUUGAGUCUUCAAAAUUACAUUCUUGUAUAUAGUUUUAUACAUCCAGUCAAUUCGUACAAUUGAAGUAAUAAGUACAUAUUUGGUUAGUAUAUGAUUAAGAGCAUAAUUUAUAUGUAGUUUAAGUAUCCGUCCAUGUAUUUUUUUUUUUUCAGACUUUUGAAGUUAGUUAAUUAAACCUAAGUAUCUGUCCAUGUAUUAGGUUCCACUUCCAUGUUGUGAAGAAGGUGUCCUAAAAGUACCUUUUUCCCUCUCAAAUGAUUAUCACCCGUAGCUUAAUCCUCUAAUAAUCUCCCCAUAAUUGUAUGUUGAAAUAAGUAUUUAACAUUAGAUUCUAAUUAAACAUGCAAGAAAAAUAUGGACAAUUUCUUGACUGCAACUAAGAUGAUGGUGGAAAAGAUUGUUUGCAUCACUUUCAACAUUUGAUAGAGAGAAUUGCCUUUACUUACAUAUAAAGGCUCAACAUGAAACCAUGAUUAGAACUAGGCCUUGUUUCAAACAAACUAAUUCUAAUAGUUAAGGACCAUCUAAUUCUACCAUGCCAUAGAGAUUCAUUAAACAACUCCACGUCUUAAUUAGUAUUCAAGGUAACUAAUGAUUUUGUUAACACCUCUCUCCAUCAGUAUAUGCUACAUCAGAUAUCUGACCAACAAAACAGGAAGCCAUGGACAAAGAAAUUUAGUCAUGAAUUAAAUUCACAAAAUCAUUGCAAAAGUUUGCAUCUCUUAAAGCUAACAUUUUUAGAUAAGAGAUGUUGCUUCCUGUCCUGGAUGGCCCCGAGGGGACAAGAAUAAAUAUGGUUCAUGAGAAUACAUUUUCGUCCCAAUUAUUAGGAAGCUAACAACUCCCAAGAUUCAACCAAAGUUGGGUAAUUUCACUUCAGAUCUUAGCUAUCAUUUAUGCUUGUGAUUUAUUUACUCCUCUAACUUUAGUUUGUAGUAGCUUGUACCCUAUCGUCAUUUGGUUGCUUAAUUUUAGCUCAACCCAUAUACUAUAGUUAAACUCAGGUGGAAAUGUUUGCUCAAUUGGAAGUGGCUGUAUUUGUCCUAACAUUACAGGGCAUGAUAUCUUAAGAAUCAAAUCAAGAUACUAAUUAAUAUUGGGAGGUAAUUGUAGCAAAUUCAACUACAAUGGCCAAAGUUUUACGAGCAAACUAAAUUGUCAGUGUGUGAAAUUAGUCCACAAAAUUGACCCCCAACCACGUUCUGGUUUAAGUGAGGAUAGAAAAGAGAAAAAAAGGGCAUUUUCCUUUCCAGCAAUGGUCCAAAAUCCGAAAGAUCAAACACAUAAUCAUAAGUUUAUCCCAUCAUAUGAGAAGUCCUAUCUUGAGGGGUUAUUUCUAAACUGAAGUAUACGGAAAUCUUUGGACAGAUACAAUGGAAAAGCAAAAGAAGUGCAAUAUGAGGGACCUUGUACAUCUGUAGGUAUGACCUAAAGAUUUCUUUUUCAACUCCACUACUGGAUAUGAAGACAGGUUUAGAAAAAUAGGACUGAGGAUGGAAAAAGGAGGACAAAUUAUGCUUCCGCAAAGGAUAACGCCAUAUGUCUUGUACCUCUCACAUUACACUCAUUGAACAUAAAUGAUAAGAAUAGAAUGAUCGAUGAAUCAAAUUUUUUGCACAAACAGAUUGGGAUCACAUGCCAUGUUCGUCAAUAUUCCAAUAUUGAAGCAUUUCUCAAGAUUUAUUUUUUUCCUUUCAAGAGCAAGAUAUGUGAUUUGUGAAGCUUGUUAAUUGACACAAAUUCCUGCAAAGAGAGAACAAAAUGAGAUUGCGGGAAAGAAGCACGUGAGAUGUCCACUAUAGGAACCAAGGAUAUGGAUGGAUUAUUUCCUAAAGUGAGUCUGGGGCUAAUUGCAUAACGGAUCUUCUGUUUCAUUUUUUGUAUCACUCUCGGUCUUAUUUUUUAUUAUAUUGAUAUUUUUCCUUCAUAAACAUCAUGUUUUAGUUCUUUUUUAUUUUCUUAAAAUCCAAUCACUAUUAAUUGAGUAAUAUACAAAAUUUAACAAACUCAAAAAAUCAAAAUGCAUAAAAUUUUAGAUUUUUUAUGAAUUUUCUACUGUAUUUUUUAAUUUUCCAUUAUAUAUUACUUUUUUGAAACUAUGGUAUUUAUGUUUUACUCAAUUAAUAGUUAUUAGAUGUUAAGGAAACAAAAAAAGAACUAAAACAUGGUAUUUAUGAAGGAAAAAUAGCAAUAUAAUAAAAAGUAAAAUAGAGAGUGACACAGAAGAUCUGUACGAGGUAAUUGGCAAAAAAUAUGUUUUCUGUUAAUACUUGAAAGCAAACCUUAUGGUUUGAAAUAAAGUUGGUAUGCAAAAUAGUUCAAAUCAUAUUGUUUUACAUGUAUUCUAAUUAUAUCUUCAAGAUAUCAAGAAAAGUUACGAAUAAAAAAAAGGAAUCUUGAGAGAUCAAACAUCAUAACGAAUUAGUCAGACAACACAUAGUAUGUCAAAGACAUUUAUAUGUUAUACUUUACCCCAAAAAAAUACAUUAAUUUGUUAUUGAUGCUGUAAAUAGUUGGCCAUAAUUACAAAUAAGAGUUGUUUAAACGUCAUCCAAAGAGUUAUAUGAAUACUAAUUGCUUUUUGAGUCCAAAACUUAUGCAGUGUAGUUUUUCUCUUGUAAUGUUAGUGAAAUUCUAACCUAUGGUAGUCUAACCAUCCCUUUUUUUCCCCUCCUGUCAUUACUUUUAUUCCAUAGUUGUAUCUUUCCUAACACUCUCUCAAACUCUUUUGUAUUCUUUUUUAGAAGUACUCCUUGUUAAACGAUCCUUGUUAAUCCUUGUUAAACGAUCCAAAUAUCUACAUUCAUAACGCACUUCUAAUUGCAUGCUCCACUCCACAACCACCAAGAACAGGCCAACCAUAGAUUCUAGCCCAAGAGAAAAUGUCUCUAAUUGCUCCACUCCUUAAGGGCUAAGAACAAAAGAAUUCAGAGGAAAUUUUGAUCGAUGUGUAACAUGAUCACAUUCUUGUUAUAAUGGUAACUUCAAAACAGCACAAUAUCCUCAUUUAAUAUAGAUUCUUGUGAGAUAAACAUGUGAUUAACUGAAAUUUACUCUAAUUGCUCCCCACUCCUUAAUGCUUUAAAUGAUUUGGCUUAAACUCAUGGCCGCGAAGGGGCUUUAUGGUCAAUUAAUAAACACCAUCAGUUUAAAUACAGGGUUGAACCGAAGCUAUCGAUGAUUAGGUUCGGACUAGGCUUGUUUUACCAACGUGCUCGCCGGCAGCCCGCGGCCGGCGGGAAAUCUAUCUUUUGCAGCAAAAAGGGGCCCAACGCUUGGCCAAAGGCCCGCCAAAACAUGUUAGCAAAGAAGCAAGUAUUAUUUUGGUCACCCAAUAUUUUAGCACUAUUUCCGGUUUGGCACCUUCGAAUUAAUAAUAGACUUGUAUUAAAAUAUCAUCCUUUUUGGGCUGAUGUUUCGUGUAAUUAUGUUAUUGAAAGAAAUUAUUUAUGUGGAAUAUUUUUUUAAAUCUUUUGUAAGUGGGAGAUCCUGAGUCUAAAAUUUUCAUUUACAGUCUCUCUUAUCUUAUCAUCCAACUCAACCUUCCCUUUUCUGAGAAGUAUCAUAAAUUUUGUUUUGAAUUUAAUAUGAUUUCUUAAAAUAGAAUUAGAAGUAAGAAAGAAAAAAGAAUUCGAAGUUGUACCACCUCUGAUUUUUUUUAAAAAAAAAAACUUAUGACAGAGCUAAGAACAUAUUUUUGAAAAGUAAUUGAGAAUAGAAAAAAAAUUAACUCCUCUACAAUCAAAAUUGAAAAUAAGGCAUUUAGAAUUAUUUUAGGCUAGAUCCCAAAUAUCUCUUCCUCUGAUUGGAAGAUUUGAGGGGAAAAAAGCAAAUUUAAAUUAGCCAAUGGUGAAAAAUAGGAGAGAAAAACUAUAAUAACUAAAUAAAUAAAUAAUAUUCUCAUCAUAUUGAUAACUCCUUUUUCGUUUCGGUGGAUCGUGUCUGUGUUUUCUAGAGUUGACUUUGAUGCCGUUGGUUCUUCCAUUUGUCAUCCAUUUGGCAAUUGGCAUAAGAAUUGAAAUCGUUUAAGUGGAAAUCAAAACUAAUUAAACAAAUAUAUCCCGUAAGUUUAAGAAUUUUUUAUCCUCUAGGCUUGCACUUCAUUUUUUUUCCCUUAUAAAUUUCACAUUUGUUCAUGGAAACGGUCAAUCCCAAACAUUUGUAGUAUAAUUUCUUCUUGCAAUUAUCACUACUCAAAUUAUACAUCGCUUACGAUCUUUUAUGGAGAAACAGUUCAUCCUUAUCAAUUGAACUAAUUUGUAUUGACUUUUUUCGGUGAAUCUAUCUAACUAUCUCGAGUAGACUCAUCUCCAGAAAGCUUGUACAAAUAACUAACGAGCACAAACCAAAGGAGAAUACAAUCAAGCAAAAAAAAAAUUCAAUGCAGGGAUUUCUAAAGCCAGCAGGAAUGUUAGUAAUCAAGAAUUCUAGAACUUCCUUAAAAUUUGUCAUAAAAUACAAAAACAUUUCUCUAUGGUUUCCUGGAUUUAUGAUGGCCUCCUCUAUCAACUUUUUCACGUUGCUAUUACUCUUUUGCCAAUCUUAUUUGUAAAAGGAAAGCCUAAAAUCAAACCAUUUGCUAAAACCAACAAUGUAUAACUCAAAUUCAAACAUGAUAUAAAACAUUUACUAGUACUAUUUGGCUUCAAUUAGAGUUUAAACUCGAGAUCUCUCGGUCCUAAAGAUAAAAGCGUGAUGCUGUAAAUUUAAAACUACAUGAAAAAGUUGUAUAAUUAUCAACAAUCACAUGGUAUACUCGUGUAUAAUUAACUCCAACUUAAAUAUCGUGGGCAUAACUUGUAGAAGUAACAAAAUUAGUCCCUCAUUGUGGAUGGACCAUUCACAGAAAAAUGCCUUUUCCUUGUGAAGGUAAAUGCCAUCUAUCCUUGCUGCAAUAUGUUAGGAGAUUAAAGGCUUCGCUCUUUCCCUUCUACAAAACAGUCAAAACACCCUCUUCCAAAUUCAGCAACUUUGGCAUCAGAUUCAGACAUGUAUAGGGCUCACUUUCUUAAUCACUAUCAUGUCAAUUACUUGAUGCCCCAAAGCUUUGAGAGGAGUGACACAUCUUUUUGGUACCGGCAUUGAGAAGCAAAAGUGUAUGCUCCUUACCAAACGAUAAACUGACUCUUGAUAACGAUUGUCACAAAAUUUUGGUCCCCUUUUAGGGCAAUGAGGUCUUCAUGAUCAAGUUUUAAAAGUGGGAUUGAAAAUCAGGAAUAAGAGGUUUUGCGUUCAAGUCUGGCUAAAUGCUAUUUGUGGGUUGAUAAUUGUGAAUGUUAACCAUAGUUUGUUUUAAAGUCUUAUUAUCUUGUUUGAUAUUCUCAAGGGCCAUAAAUAGGUCAAGAGAUUUAUGGUUCAAGGUUGAUUAAGUUGUAGAUUGAGAAACAUUUGUCAUUCUUGAACCAUAGUUCUUAAUUGCAAUAAUUAAACCAAAAUUUGCAUAUGAAAAUGACAAUUUCUAGUGAUAUUAUUAAUUUCUUCAAGUCCUAAACGACAAAAACCAAAAGCAUUAGCUCCUAGCCCCUAGCUCCUAGCUAAUAGCUUGAUAGGUUAUUUUCUGAGCUUACUUUUUUUUUUUCUUUUUAAAAAAAGUUUUAACUUUAUUUAGUCAAGACUGCUUCUUUUCCAAAGUCAUGGUUGAAUAUUUUUCGAACAGAUGGCCUCCUAUUUCCUAUGAGCCGCUGCUGCAGCCUGGCCCUUCAUUCUUCUCCCCCAUCCUUUUGCAUUUGAAUAAGUUCCGCUGAUUAAUUUAUUUGACACAAAAGACAUAAGAUUUUAGCCCUCAAUCUCCAGCAAUUGAUGAAGUAUCAUAGACUUUUUAAGAGUAAUCAUGCAGUAUAUAGCUCAAAAAAGCUAAAGAAUGAACUAAACUAACAAGUUGAUGAAUUUAUUCCCAACAAAUCAUUAUGGCCCCCGAGUUUUAAUCAUGAUUACUGGCAUUUCUUUACAAAUUAUCUUGUCUGGAUCAACGAAUUGCAGUUGAAAGUACAAGAAAAGUAUGAGCUUUUUACAACCAGCAUCAACCUCUACUGCAUUAGGAGAACUUCGCUUAACAAGAAAAAUAUGUGUAACUUACUUGAUAUCCUUUUAGGUGCACAGGAGUUGGAGGAUACAAAAUCAGCACAAUGAAAAAGUAUUAUAUCUAGUGUUGUUGUUAGAGUUUGAAUAUCUGAUAAUGUUGAUCAAUGCACAUAAAUAAUGGAAGGUAAAAAUUUAUCUGCCAUGGCAGGGUCAAUCAACGCACAUGAACAGGCCGAUUGAAAAAGAAAAUGAACACAACUAGAAUGUAUAUUCAGCACCUAUUACAAACAUGUGUGCUAGUUACCCUUUACUUACUAUACAGUUAGGUCCUCUCUAGGUUAACUGGCUUAUGGCAAACAUACUGUUUAAGGCUAUUUUUUUUUUUUCGGUAAGACGAGAAGGAUUAUCAGUAGGAGGUCUAAUUUAAAUAUUUAUCUCCAUCAUUGAUCAGAAUUUGGUUAAAUGACUUGAUAUCUCAAACUUUUCAUGUUCUCCAAUCUUUCUUUGUACUACAUUUUCAAUAGAGCCAUCUUAACCAAACCCCGUUUGACAAGUGAGUUUUUUGGGUGUUUGUCUAAAACGUUACUGCAGUUUACUGUAAAAGUUUUUUUAAAAAUUUUUGAAGUGUAUAGUUUAAAAAUUUUGAGAAGUUUUUGCGAUUACUGUAGCAAAAGUUUUUUAAAAACUUGUGGUAGACAAAAAACUCAAGUGACAAACAGGGAGGCACUAUGGCUAGCUAACUACUCAUCCGUUUUAAGUAAAAAUAAUGCUUCACUAGAUUUGGGGGAAAAAAAAUGCCAUGUUAUUGAUGCGACAGCCAAAGGUAUUACAUAGGGACUGUUCUUGGUUGUUGUUGCUGAUUUUGCAAAAAGAUAAUUAAUCAGAAUCGACAAAAGUUAUUCUUGGAUUUGUUUUAGAUUUUGGCUUUCACAAAAGUAAACGAGAACAUCAGAAGUUCAAUCAUUAGAGUCUAAAAUCAAGUGAAAUAAUUAAACAAUAACUCUAAUUGAUUGACAUGUUUUAAUAAUCCUUUUUUGGCAAAGCAAUAGGUCAAAUUAAUUAUAAUCCACGCCUACCUCCUUAAACCUUUAAAUUAGAUAGUGUCAGCAUUGAGGGCAGUGAGGGGGAGGAUUGACUGCAAAUUGAUAAUCAGGGACUUGGCUCUCCUCAAUGGGGAUGUUUUUCUUUUUAGCAGCAAGGUCCCCAUUUUUUUCUAUUUUAUGAAGUGAUAAACCAUCUUUAUUCCGUCUCUUCAUGCUGUAAAUACUACUUUUUCCAUUAUUAUACACACUUCGGUCCCCUGAUUAGGCCUUGAUGUGAUAAAUUGAGAAAUUUGAGCUAAUUAUUACUAGUUAAAAACAUAUGGACGUCAUGAGCAUAUCCCCCUCAUUCUGCUAAUCAGUGAACUGGAACAACUCAACGCUUCUAAAGUUCCCUCUGCCAUGUUUAUAAAGGAGACGAAUGACAUUUUCUAAAGCACAAUGUUGGAGAAAGCGAAUUGUUUCUAUGUACUUAAAAAAGACAGAAAGGCAUGUCCAACACUAGAAUUUAGAACUUAGAUCACAUCACACCAAGCGUUGGUAUAUCACACUCUACAAAAUAUGAAGUGGUUAUUAAAGUGUCAAAAUGAAUGUAACAAAGUAAGGGUGUACUUUUGAUUAAUUAUGUUUCUUUUUUAAGUGAAGUCAACACCUCCUACUUACAAUCUGUCUCCCCUUUACUAUCCGACUCAACCUUCCUCCCACGAUAAUUACAUAGACUGAAAGACCUCCAAUUUUGUGAACAAAUUGAACUUUGGUCUUUAAGUUUUCAAUUCGUCCGUUUGAUUAUUUUUCGGGUAAAUUACCUUUUGCCCCAUAUAAUUUGGUACUUUACCACAUAACUCUCUUAUAGUUUAAAAGUCUAUAUAUAACGCCCUCAUAGUUUAGGUUAAAGCGUUACUGUUAGUUUUUCUGUUAAAACUAAUGGUUAAUAGUAAGGAGUCAAAGUCAAACUAAUAAAUCGACAAAUUCACUCUUUCACUACUUUUUCUUCUAUUUCCUUUUUUCCUUUUCUUUCUCUCUCUUUUUUUUUUUUUUUUGGGAAGAGAGGAGAUGAUUUUGAAAUCCUAUUCUUUGAUUCAUAAAAGCUUAAGUUUCUCCAAAUACAAAAGAGUUGGAAGGAAGACAAAAAAUAAAUAAAUAAGAAACAAAAAAGAAGGAAGGGAAAUAUAAAACAAAUAAAUAAGAUACAAAAAAUACAAAAUAUUUUUUUACUACAAAUAUGAUUGUAGGUUUUCAAACCAAAUCUUUAAUGGUAUUUUCUUUUUUUUAUUUAUCUAUUUUAUAUUUCAAUUUCUUCUUUUUUAUGUUUGGAGAAAAAAUAGAAGUAAUGGAAGGAUAAAUUUGUCAAUUUAUUAGUUUAAAUUUGAUGUUUUACUAUUGACUGUUAGUUUUAACAGAAAACUAAUGAUGACAUAUUAAUUAACCCAAACUAUGAAGCAGUUAUAUAUAAAUUUUUAAACUAUGGGGAUAUAUGAUAAACACCAAAUUGGUAAAAGGUGAUUUACCCCUUAUUUUAUAUCAUAUGAUAUUUCAAAUCGUUACAAGUAACACUCCACAGCAAGCAAGUGCUUGUAUUCAAUUUCAGCUGAUAAACUGCAUACAUGGAGGAUUAAGGAUCUCCCCAUACAUCAAUAAAUAAAGUUCAGAGACAAAAAGCGAAAAAGGUUAGGAGGGAAUGUAAAGAUAAUUAACCAUUAAAACAUAAAACUUUUGUUAACUAUGGUGAAUUAGCACUUACAAAACAUACUACACGUAUUAUCAGAUCAUUUAGAUAGACGAAUCUACAAAAAAAAAAAUUAAAAAAAAAAGUGAUUAACCCAAGUUGAUAAAAAAAAUUUAUAUAUAUUUGCUUCACAUUUGCUGGGAAAUGAAUUAUGUAAAAAUGUUUUGCUUCACGGGACCAAAGAAGAGUGGCCUCAUUCCUAUUGAAAAUGCAUUAUCAAGACUUUUCUAAAACAGGAGAAGAAUCAUAAGGAAAGUACCUAUGACCUCCAACCAGAAAAAGGAAUCAUCAACUUCAACAAAAUUCUUCUUCUUCUUCUUCUUCUUCUCCUUCAGCCUUGCAGGAACGCAGUCGCAAUCCCAAUGCUUUAAAUUCUGCUAGUGAAUAUUAUACUGAACAAUCUAAAUUGUUCAUGAGGUUAACACAAUCUCUGAUGUGCAAUAGGAUCUAAUUAAGUGAAGUUUUGAAAUUUAUUUAUUUUUUAACAGAAUCUUUUUGAUUAUAUGAAUGUCCAAAGAGUUCUGUUCAGUUUUCCACCUCCAUGAGCAACAUUGUCAUAGCAUUCAUAUUCCAAAAAACAAAAAUUCGUGGGCUGACUAAAAAGCUACAUUCCGGCACAGAAAGUCCACUUCACAUUCUAAGUAAUAAAACAACACCACUAUCGUCAAAACCACACCAUUUCUUCAAAGAGGUGAUUGUUUGUUCAAUCAAUUUGCAAUGAUGCAAAAAUAUUUCACUUGUUAAUUCUCUAACUCGCCGCUGAAAAAGCGAUCCCAUAACACACACGAGUCUAAACGCUUUGUUCUUUACCAACUAGCUGUUGAUUCAAAAAACUUCAAGUAUUUUUUGAUAUUCAUACAUGUGUUCAAUUACACGGUCGACUUCAAGAAGGGUUAGAUUGAAUGGUAAUCGUAAGCAAGAGAUUCUAAAUUAAACGCGAACUUGAUGAACAAUCUACACUGAUUAUGUAAGUUCCUCAGGAAUCUUUGGAUUGUCUGAAUCCUAGAUUAGCUUGGAUAAACGUAGCACUAGAGACAUUGGACCUAGGCAGUGACUCCAGUCGUAUAGUUGUCAACUUGUCAUUUGGGCCUAUUAUCAUUUAAUCUUCUAACCCAACUUUGCCAGGGACUAAGGACCAAUUCAUAGCUGUCAACUUUUAGUCAGUCCACUGUUUCUGAGGCGGCACAUAAAUACAAAAAUUCAUGCACGUUUAGAUUCUGUAGCAGAUUUGAUGGCUAAGAAGCCGAAACCCACACGUAUACUCUACCAGUCAAAUGUUGUUCUUUUCUUGUAUUCAUUUGCAUGUCGGCUAAAUGUUGUGAGUUGUCUAUUUAUUGCUUUUCAUUUUUUUUAUUCUACUCAGGGGAUAUCCCGGCUUCAGAUAUACGGACCCGGCUAAUCCUCCUAAGUCUCGAGAGGAGAGACUCCAUUCCCUCGAAUCGAUAAUCAUUGAGAUUUGAUCCCUAGUGAAAAAAAAUGAACAACAGAACCUUAAAAGGCUUUCUAUGACCAACUGAGCUGUCCAGAAGUAGCUCUUUUCAUUUGGUUCAUUUGGAUUGGCUCUCAAUUCCUCGUGGAACUGAGCCAAUUAUUACGUUCAAAUCUUCAUGUAUGAUAAAGUAAACGAUAUCUAAGUGCUUCUAGAUUAGAAGAUUGCAGAAAAGAGAAUCUAUACUAUAUAGCGUGUGUGUGUGAAAGGGCUAUUGUGGAAGUCCCAAAUCUACAAAAAUGGCACGUUCAUAAUCAUUUUGCUUAAGAAAGUAAAGUUCACAACUCAGUCAAUUGUGGUCGGAUCAAUGUAAAUAGAUUUACAACUUAACCCUCAAAUAGUGAGGUAUGAAAUUAAAUUAAACUCAACUUUUUGAGAAAUGUUUAAUUUGAUGUGAAUUUGGCAUUUAGUAAUAAUUUUAGCUUUUAUAUCGUCCAAAAUUCGGGAAAAAAAAUAAUACCGUGUAUUAGUUUAGAUUCAGAACUCGGGUAGACCCGAUUUUCAAAAAUUUAAUCGUCCAAAUUGUGCCACACCACACCAUAAUGUGACACAAUCUAGACCAUUAAAUUUUUUUAAAUCUGAUCUAUCCAAGUAUACUAAUACAAAUGAUUUCCAAAUAAAAGCCUGAGACGAGAUUGUGCAUAGCAUGUUUGAAUCUUGAUCCUUUUGUCAUAUUUUAUAACACUAGAUAAAGCAUGAAAAUCUUAUGAUCAUAAGCGUGAUGAAUAAAUUGUCGAUUUGUUCAACAAUUAGAUGCUUCACAUGAAUAUGCAAAGCUAACAAUAUAAAUAGCUAACGUUAGAUACCCCUUGUUUAAGACAAUAUACUUAAUUUACUCAUCAUCAUUGAAACAAAUAUAUAGCAAAAAGAAGUAUCCAUAAGCAAAUGCCAUCAAAUAUUAAAAUUAAAUUUAUUUAAUUGUUGCAGUAAAGCUUUUUUUUUUAAAUUAUCUUGUGACUUUUAUGCUGGAUUGUAAUUAAUAACUAACCAGUUCCCCAGAUGAUUAUGUGGUUCUUUUUUUUUUUUUUUUUGAGUGUCACUAUAAGUGAAAUCAGUACGAGAGUACCUACUUUUAUUUUUUCUUAUUAUUAAAAAAAAAGCCUCAGAAAUUAGUUGAAUUCUGAUAUCUCAAGCUAGAAAUGGAUUUAAUUACUAUCUAACUAUGCUAAAUAUUUUGGAUUGUAUAUAAUAUAUCUUCUACAUUACGUGGGCUGGCUUUAUUUCUGUGUAGCAAAAAGAAAAUUAUACUGCUUUAUCAAGAAAUUGAAAAAAAAAAAGAAGGUAAUUUUACUCUUGUUAGUCAAAGCUACUAUUGUUGAUCUACCAAGCCCACCUGCAACCUCUACUCUUUCGCUCUCAAACUCUCUUGAUCACAUGGAAAUCAAUUUUUUUGUUUACUAACCACCAAAUAAACAAUCAUUACUCAUCGAAUAUGUUCAGAGAAUGGUUCAGAUUUCAAAAUCAAAAUCUGAGUCGUUUGAUCAUGUUAUUUCCUCUUUGUUGAGAAUUUUACACUGGAUUAGUUCGAGUAAUUUAUAUUUCCUUGAAGGAAAAUCAAGCAAUCAAAUAAUUGUUGCAAAAAAAAAAAAAAAGAGAGAGAUGUAUUUAGCAAGGACAAUGAGAAGCAUUUAUCAAGUCAAUUACAAUGGUUAUUUUAGCUCGAUUUCUGCUUCAAUUUUGACCUUUUAUUCAUUUAACUACUAAGAUGUAAAGGAAAAGAGAUAGCAAAAGAAAUUUUGGUGCAUCUUAGAUGUUCCCCCACUUGGCUUAACAAAUUUAUUAGAGCUAAUCUAAAAUAUGUGGUAAUAUGAUGUGAUUAAUAAUGCUUCCUGUUAAAAUGUCAUAAGAUAAUACAAGGAAAAACUAAAUAAUGAGUAUGAUGAUGUUAGAAAAAAAAUAACAGAUAGCAAUAUAAAAUAUAUAAGAAAAUUCAGUUACUAUUAUGUUUAUCACAUGAUCUCUAAGUGGAUCCAGAGAACAAGGCUAUACAAGCUUUUUUCUAUCUAUUUUUUGUGGAUCUAGAGAUCAGGCCUCACAAGCUUUUUGUCUAUCUAUUUUCUAAUUUGUUUAGAAACAUAAAAGGGUAGGGUUUUGAAACAAAUCGUAUUACUAAUCGUAUCAUCCUAUACAUGGCUCACAUCGACUUAAACGAGUUCGGGUCAAUUUUAGUCAUCGAUUUUUAAGCUUGUGAAAUUUUAAAUUCAACAACUUAGCAUGCAUUUCAACUCAAGAUAGAACGACACCAUAUCUUUGGGGGAGAAGGGCUAGUGCAGUUGGAGUCUAGUACGAUUCCCGACUGUUAUAUUUUUUAUAUUAUUUGAUGCAUAAUUAUAUUACAUUAUUAUAUUUAAAAUAAAAGUAUUUUAUGUGAAUAAAAUAUUCAAAAAUUUAAACAUGUACAACAACUGAGCAGAACUAUACAUAACAUAAUUAUCAUCUGACAUACAAAUUCUGUACAGCGAAAACCACCUCUCUCUAAUUCUCAUACACUUUUUAUUACAUAUUACACAAAAUGGUUAUAUUCACUUGCAAUAUUUUUUUGAUUUUUUAAUUAAUAAUUUUUUUUUUUUUGGAAAUUGCACACGCAUCAAGUGUGUCUCGAUAGCUAGCAGUUAGUAAUGGGCUAAUAUACAAGAUCAUAUGCGUCUGCAUAUAUUAUGUGUAAGCAGUUAAGUUUCUUGAGGGUUAAAAGGUAGGGAGUAUGGAAUUUUUUUUCUUUCUUUUUUUAUUACGAGUAUAAUACCAAUCCUUUUCUCUAAGUAGUACCUCAAUAGUUUGACAAAUAAAAUAAUUAUCUCGCAUAUUUUAUACUCAAUUUAAUACGUACGUUUUAAUUGCAAACUCUACAAUGAAUUUAACGUUUAGUCCUACCAAAAGAUCUUGACAAAUUCUUCUGAAAUUUAUUAUCCCCGAACCCCACAUGUAUAAUCGAAGCCGUGGUGAAUGUGGGGCGUAAUCGCAGAUGCCGCCGCUCCAAGUCGCAUGAUAACGCAGUUGAAAACUUUGACAUUACCAUGACAUUGAGCAAAUUAUGCGGGUAAUCACUGAACCUUUUGAAAAGUUGAGUUUUAGCUACUUAACUAUUAAUAGUAUAUUUUUUUCUCAUUGAAUUAUUAAAGGUGUAAAUUUUGAAUCAUUCUGUUUGAUUUUACUAUUAACUCUGAAAAAUCUAACUGUUAAUAGUAUGUCUUGUAAAUCGUGUAGACCCUUAGAUUUGACAGAGUUAACGGUGAAAUCAGACAGAAUGGUCCAAAAUUUACGUGCUUGAUAGUUUAAUGGAUAAAAACGUACUAUUAAUAAUUUAGUGGCCAAAUUUUAACUAUUCAAAAAGUUCAAUGGCUAUCGGAAUAUUUUGCUCCCAUGAUAUCUUAUGCACUGAACAGAAGGAAUCCAAUAUAGGAGCAGAAAUAAAUUAGUAUAAACUGACGUGCCUAAAUCCUAACCAUCAAUGACUAUCCAACUUGCACGGCCGGACUUGAUCUUCACCGUCACUCCUAUUUGGCUGCCACACCCUGAGACUAGAGCGAAAAGGCGAAUAUGCUCUGUGUGGCGUGCAAAUUAAGAAAAAAAAUUAAAUUAUUUCUAUUAAAACCAAUGAAAGUUAUCAAAGGCCCCUUUUUUGUCAAAAAAAAAAAAAGAAGAAGUUAUUCUUUUUUGGCAAACACAAAAAAAAAAAAGGAAGCUAUUCGAAGUGGAAGCUAUUAAAAGCUAUUAAAUUUAAGUAGUUAUUUUUAGUAAAUCUCUACUUUUAUAAGGGUAAAUUUAAAAAAAAUAAAUAAAAGAUGAGACAAAAUUUUGAAACCAAAUCUCCUCUCAUGCUUUAUACAUAGAAAGAAAUAGAAGUUGCUAAACUUAAGUAGUUAUUUUUAAUAAAUCUUUAAUAUGGUGAGGAUAAAUUUGGUGUUUGGAUUAGAGUUUUCUACCAAAAGUUUUUAAGUUUUUCGUGAGUAUGUUUUUUUAAUCACCUUUUUAUCUGAUAUACAUUAAAUUGCUAUAGUAUAUUUUUUUUUACAAAAACUCCAGAAAAUAACAAUCCAACUGGGAGAAAACCAGGAGAUGACAUAAAAUUUAAUAUCAAAUCCCUUCUGCAUGGUUUAUAUAUAGAAAUAUAUCAUUCCUUCCUUCAAAAUUGAAUGUUUCAUUGAAACGAAACUAUUUCUGUUGAAUGUUAGCCUUCAUCGUGUCCAUUCUGCGUGUAGUUCGUAGUAAUUAGCAAACUUGUGUGUGAUAAAAUGAAGCUGAUUUGCCCCAAAAAAAAAGAGAAAAAAGAGUAGAAACGCAAUUUAUUUAUUUCGGUCUUAGAAAGUACAUAUAUAACAAACAAAGUAAAUCUUAUAUACAUUAAUUAAUAACGUAAUCGCCUUGCUUCUCAUAAUUGCAAUUCUAAAUAUGGAGUACAUUAAAGUCUAUUGAGAAUGCAAAUAUGCAUAGCCUUGUAAGAAUUUCUUUUUCUUUUUUCUUGUAUAGAAACUUGCAAGAAUUUCCCAGUACAAUCUGGAAAAUAAAAUUUCUCCAAUCUCACAUGCUCAACUCUGAAGUUUGUCCCAAUUUCUAAGUGAAACAUUUUUAGCUAAAUACUUUGGUGCAUGUGUAAAGAAAUUGAGACAAGUGUCUAAUUGUGAAGAUGCUCACCUAACCUUUUUUGAGAAUUAUUAAUUACACAAUUUUCAGUUACAAACAAUAAAUUUAAGGAUAAAUGAUACUUAUACUGGAUUGAAGAUUUUUUUUUUUUGAAGCUAAUAAAUAUCCUUUAGUUUUGAGUAACAAAUCAACUUAUUCUAUAAAUAUAGAUAAUUGUGAUUGGCUAUAAAAAGCAUGGUCAAGCAUCAUGCCAUUGAUUUUCUUACAGGAUAAUCUUUUUGAGAUCCCUCAAACCUUAAAAAAAAUAUUUAUGAAAUCAUACAGUAUGGAAAACAAACAGAAUAAAAUUUCUAUGAAUAUGCAAUUCUCAAGAACUAUUGAAUGCAUAUUUCAACUCAGUGUAUAAAUUAAUGCCUUUUUUUUUUUGGUUCCAAGAAUGAGAAUUUGUAGGGUUACGAACUAGUAAUACAGUAAACCUACAAAUCUUCAUGGCGAUAACGCAUUAGCAAUAAUAGACAGUGGGAUUAAUUACUUCCAAAAAAAAAAAAAAAUCAUGGAUGAGUUUAUAUUGACCUUCUAAAGAAGUAAGGAAUUUCAAUUGAGACCCCAAAUUUAAGUCAAAAAGUUCGAAUUUGACCCUUAAAGAACAAAAUUUGUUUAUCUUCGCAACUUCUUUUUUGUCUAAUGGAUUUCCAUUUUCUGAAAUUUUGUCAAAAGAUAUACUAUAGUGAUUUGAUAUAUGAGAUAAAAAAAAAAAAGUGAUCACCAGAAAAACAUAAAAAAUUUUCUGUGAAAAAACUUCAAUCCAAAAAAGUAAAAUUUUCUAACAACUUUUCAAUGUUGGAAGGUCAAAUUGAAACCUCUUUCACUUUUAGGGACUCAAUCUAUUGAAAACUUUGGUCAUUGUUGGAGGACCAAAAUAAAAACAUUUGUCCAAGUGGAAUAGAAAAGUUCCAAAAUCUGGGGUCCCAUUACAGCAAUUUUGCCUUUUUCCCAAUUUAUUAGUUUGGCUCCUCAACCACUUUUGCCCAACCAAACCAAGAUCGAAAGUUCAACGCAUGGACGGAAACCGGCAUUCAGGGGUAUUUUAGUAAUCUCACAUCAACCCCAUUUCCAACCCAAAUCAAAAUCCCCCCCACUAACUCUAUGAUUAGAUUAAGAUAUGGAUUAGAUACCUCCUAAUAUACGUUUUCCUCUCGUAAGCUUUAACGUUGUCAAGUCUCAUCAUCAAGACAGAAACACGCACUUUACACUACAAUUUUCACACACACACACACACCCCACGCUGGCUUGGCUUUCUUUCGCCACCAUACGUAUUCGGCCCCUAUGUCUACGUUUAUUUACGUACAGGUGUACGUACAUAUGUACGUAUAAGUAUGUAUUCCCAUCUAUGUCUGUAUAAAUAAUGAGGAGGAAAAAAUCUUUGCAAAUUGAAGUUUGCUUCUUGGUGCUUUCUCCCCCAAAAAGCAGGUACCAAACCUCCCGACUUCUCCCCGCCCUUUAUUUAUUCCCUCUUUUUUUUUAUCUCCUUUAUUUUCAACAAGAAGUUGUGGUUUUUCUAUUGAGAAAAUUUGACCUUGCCAUAUAUGGUUAGAAUUGUUCUUUAACUAAGAAACUCAUCUAACUGGGUCCUGAAUUUGAACCUUAAGUUAAGAUUAAGGAGCUUUGGAGGUAUUAUUGAAGCUGGGUACUGUAGCAUAGUAAUUAUCUCGAUCUGGGGUUUUUGCUUUUUUGUGCUCUGUUGCUAGGGGUUUCAUUUCUGGAGAAUCCCAGAUCGGAAUAUUGUUGUUAUCAUGUAUUUAUAUGCGAUCAAAAUCUGAUCUUGAUGCUGUAAGUUGCCAUAUGGGAAGGUGCUUAUUUAGAAGUGAAUAAAUUUGGAGAAUAACUAGAAGAUUUGUUUGUUGCCUAGAUAGCUCAAAUUGGAGACCUUCUUGGUGUUGAGAAUCAGGGUUUUUAAUAGGAGAGGUGUUUUUUGGAGGAAGUAUUGAUAGGAUCUUGUAUUUACCAGUUUUGAUUUGAUUUGGUCAAGGGUUUUGUUAUAUGAUUUGAUUUAAUUUGAAGACAGGGUAUUUUGUGUUCCAGUCGGUGUGUGAAUUGAUGGGGAGGGGAGGCAAGGUUGGGUUCAAGCAGGGAAGUAGGAGGAGGGUUAGGCGAAUAGAUGAGGGUUCGGAUGAGUCAGAUGAGGAUUAUAUAGUGGGUGAGGAUGAAGGAUUUGAUGAGUCAGAAGAAGAGGAGUUUGUCGAUGAGGAUGAAUCAGAAGACAGUUUGGGUGAGUUUGAGGAAGAAGAGGAGGAUGAGGAAGAGGAAUUUGUACAAAAGAAGUUGAACAAAGUGAAGAAGGUCGGUAGACCCAAAAAGCGUUUCCCUCGGAAAAAUCAAAAUGGAGCUGUUAAGCCAAAAACUAAGAAACGGGUUUCCUAUAGUGAAGAAGAUGAGUGUGAUGACUCAGAUGAAUAUGUUGGUGGAAGGAGAAAUGAAAUUGCAGAGCCAAGAAAGAAAAAAAGAACUUCUUAUAGAGAACAAGAUGAUGACAAUUAUGAUGAUUUGAAUGAAGAAGAUGAUGAUUACGACGACGAUGAUGAUGAGGAGUUUACGCUUGAUGAAAUUCAUGAUGAUGUAGAUGAUGAAGACGUGAUGGUGGAGAGAAAGAAAAAUAAAAAGUUGGGUAGGCCUCGGAUGCCAGAGAAGAGGAUUUCCAAAGGUCAGAAAAGAAAGAGGAACACCAAGGUUUCCAAGAAGAUGGUUAGAAAGAAACAAAGAGAGAAUCAUGGGUUGCCAAGGAAAUCAAGGCAUAAUACUGAUGGGGACUUUAGAAAAAGUAAAACUAGACUGGUCGAAAAGAACAAGAAGAUAACAGGACGGGGAGGGAGAAGGAGGGUGCUUUUGGAUUCUGAUUCAGAUUUUGUCAAUUCUGGUUUAUCUGAUUAUGAGUAUACAAUCUCGGAGGAAGAGAGAGAACAGGUUAGAGAAGCUAAUGAAUUCUGCAGAAGUCUGACGACCACUUUGAGGAGUUCUACUCCUGUAAAGAAGUCGAGGGAGGAUGAAGAAUCUGUUUAUCCGCAAAGAAAACGUCUAGUAAGAAAGGGUAAGGAAAAGGAAGAGGAUUUGAAGAUUGAAACAGGAAAGCAGGUGUGUGGAAUUUGUUUGUCUGAAGAAGGGAAGAGGACUGUCAGAGGGACACUGAAUUGUUGCAGUCACUACUUCUGUUUUGCUUGCAUUAUUGAAUGGUCUAAGGUGGAAUCCCGUUGCCCCCUCUGUAAGCAAAGGUUUGCGACAAUAAGUAAACCUGCAAGGUCAGACACUGGAUUUGAAUUGAGGACUAUGAUUAUUCAGAUUCCUGAGCGUGACCAGGUAUUAUACAGCCAUUCAUUUAAAUCUCCUGGGAGUAAAAUUAGAUAAUUUGAUAUUUCAAUUGAAGUGUGCAACUUGUAUUGUUCUUCUAGUGAAUGUCCUUUUUUGGUGUACAGGUUUAUCAACCAUCUGAGGAAGAGCUUCGGGGCUAUCUGGAUCCAUAUGAAAAUGUAAUAUGUACUGAAUGCAACCAUGGGGGAGAUGACGCUCUCAUGCUUCUCUGUGAUCUAUGUGAUUCACCUGCUCACACCUAUUGUGUUGGGCUUGGACGUGAAGUUCCUGAAGGUAACUGGUAUUGUGAAGGCUGCAGACCAACUGCUCUUGAUUCCUUGAAUCCCCAAGGUCUGAAUCCUACACCCAAUCAUAGAACAAGUAACAGCUUGGCAGGUGUAUCAUCCCCCAUUACCACUGUAAGGGAGACUUUCGAUCUCAAUGAAGCAUAUGUUCCUGACACACCAUUGACUCAGGUAGCUGGACAGCCAUCUCCUAGGCUUUUUGGCGCAGACUUUCAAGCAACUUCACCUGCUUCUGGAUCUGGGGCUUUUACGUUAUAUGAAAGACGCAGAAUACAGCGUCAGAUACACCAAAUAUUUUCCAACAGAAGACAACAGGACACAGGAAUUAAUGGUAUACGGCCUACAGUCUCCGGGAAUGGCCUUUUUGGCUCUCAAGUUGGUCGGAUUCGGGAAUUAGCACCUCAACAUGCAGUAGUGCCAGAUGAAAGGAUAGCAUCUCAUAUAACUUUUCAGGGAAGAGUCCAGGACACUGCUACACACCUUGUGCAAAAUAGGGAUGCUUUUCCUCCUAUACCGACUCAUUUGAGAGCACCAGUGACUCCAUCUCAAGCUUCAACAUCUGGUGAUGGUUCUUUUGGUGGAUCCUUACAGAAUGGUUUUCCUGGGUUCAAUACCAGGAACAGUUUAGGAUCUGGUCAUCAACAAAUACAUCCCUGCAAUGGUAGAUCCAAUAUUGGGUCUGAUGCAAAUCUGUCUCUUCAUCAAUGUAGAGAGGUGAGCCCACGUAAUGUUGGAAAGGAACAAGUGCAAUCAAUGGUUAAAAGUCAUUUAAAAAGCUUAUCUCGAGAAUUGGAGUUAGGUAUGUUUAGUUUGAAAUCAUCCGCUUUUAACUGCAUAUGGCAGAAGUGCGCUUUAAAAUUCUAAAUAAUAUGCAAUAGACUAGAAGGGUUCUUCAUGUUCUAAUAUAACAUUUAUUACUGAGCUCUUGCAGUCAGUUAAAUGAUAGAUGCAUUUUGCCUAUCUUGAGUCUUGAGUUACAACAACCAACGCUUAUCAUUUUUACAAACACGCGUUUUAAAAGCUAACUGGCCAUCUUGGCAUACUCAUGUUAGAAGUAUCCUCUUUGUUUUCCUGAUUCUUGUCCUCCAUCAGAACAUUUAGGUGCCUUCUUUCCAAUAGAAAAGUUUAAUAUGCAGCAACACUUGGUUACAUUGAAAAUGCCCUUCUCCUGUGAAUUUUAAUCAUAUUGUUUUUUCUAGUCCUGAAGUGGUCAAGCAUAAGACAAUUUUCUAGUGCCUAGAAGUGCGUCUUCCAAUCAUUUAAUGGUUUAAAGAAGUUUUGUUCCUCUAUUCCCGUUUCCCUUCCUUGAUCUCUUUCUUCAAGUUUAAGAUAACGGCAAAGCUGAAAAAUGUUAUCAUACGUUGCUGCAGACUACAGUACCUUCAAGGAUGUUGCAAGGAGCUCUACACACACCAUUUUAGCUGCAUGUGGGCUUGAGCACCGCUUGAAUGAAGUCUACCCUAUGCAAGCACUCUUAAUCUGCUCACAUGCAGAGCAAAAGGCAGGUGGACAGUCAAGUCCUUCUAAAGAUCACUGCUCAUCUUGUUUUGAUUUGCUUGUGAGGAAUGUGGUGAGAGAGAGAAUGAGCACCAGAGUUGCACUCUCCUCCAAGGGCUCGAUUCAGUUAGGUUGAUAUUGCUUGGCUUACCAUUCUUUCUGUCCAUCCAUUGACCCCAUUGGGCAACUCGUUUUUAUAGAUUUUUUCUACUUAGGCUGUUGAUAAUGGAAAGAAUUAUAGAAGAAUGGGUCGUCUCCUUGUCAAUCAUUGACUUUUGGGGGGCAAUAAUUAGUCAUUGUUGUCUAUACAGGAGACAUUUUUUAGUCGCCAUUUCUCGAGAAAUUGCGAGCUUUCCCACUAUCAAUUUAAAGAUUUGUAUUCUUUGACAAACUUGAUGAUUUUGUGACUGUGGGACAGUCUAUUUCCACUGUCUUUCAUGUAAAAUUGUUGAAUUUUUCUUAAGCAUCCCUUAACCGUUCAUUUCUUUAUUAUUGUAGAUAGCAGCAAAUUAUUUCAAUUGUUAACUUCUUUCUUCCAGAAAGUUAGCAGCCUGUAUCGACAAUGGAUGGAGUAGUCUCAAGUCUCAAUUAGCCAUGUUGUUUAGCAUGAGAGUUGACAUUAUGAUUGUGCAGUUUAAAAUUCCAAAAAAGCCUCAAACUCGAGACAGACUGGAUCACUGAACUGAAGCUCAUUGGUUCACUAAAAUAGUUUGUCAUGAGGUUUAGUAGCCUGUGAAAAUGGUUAGGAGGUGUGCAACCGUGCACGAUAUUGUACUACUGGCACAAAAUUACCAAUUAUUGAGGCCCCAUGUCUUUUCUUGUGAAUGAAAUCCCUUUUAAGCAAACCUGCUUUUUUUUUUAACCCGUGAAAACCCUUUUUUGUGUUUUAUUUUAUUUUAAAGGCGUUUGUUUCUGUUGAUUGAAUUUGUUUCAGUCGCAAACAUCAAACCUCAGUUAAUGACAGAUGCAAGUGUUCAUUGAUGGAAGGGGUUGUGAAAUCCUUUUGAGUUUUAAGGGCGUUGUUUAUCUUAAUUGAACUUGUCUAUGGUUGUCAGUGGCAAACAUCAAACCUUUCAGAUCAGAUGGUGGCUAAUGCAAGUGUUCAUUCAGUCAAGGGGCUGCUGUCCGGUGAUUGCCUGUGGCAACUGUCAACAGCAAUUGAUGGCUCCAAUUAAGCCAAGUUUGAUGUUCCCCAAUCUUAUCUAGGCCGUGCGAACUCUUCAUGUAUGCAUGUAUAUAUGUGUGCGCGCGCGCUUGUGUGUACAAAUAUAUGUAUCUAUGUGUGUGUAAAUAGAUGGCCUAUAUGAGUCGUGAACAGCCUGUUGAGGCCCCAAAUCCAAAAGAUCAGUCAUCAUGUUGUUUAUGUAGUAAUAUGGACAAGAAAUGUUCGAUGGAGAAGAUAUCAAACCUCCAGAACAAGAAAUGUAAUGGCAAGAAUCAAAUGAAACUACUCUGGAUUGAUGGCCAUAAGUGAGGUGUAAGUAGAUGGCCUAGAUUGUGAACAGCCUGUUGAGGCCCCAAAUCCAAAAGAUCAGUCAUCAUGUUGUUUAUGUUAUGAUAUGGACAAGAAAUGUUCGAUGGAGAAGAUAUCAAACCUCCUGAACAAGAAAUGUAAUGGCAAGAAUCAAAUGAAACUCCGUAUUGAUGGCCAUAAGUGAGGUGUUAACCUCACCAUAAAGCUCAUUUCUGUAACAUACCAGUUUUACAAUACAGUAUCAUCCGACUUAGUAAUACCAGUAUGAAGGUUUUCCAUCAGUAGACGACCUUCUAUGCUUGAUUGGCAGUCAAAUAAAAGAUCACCUCCAUGAAAAUGAGAUGAGCAAAGAAGAAAUCAAAACACAGAUCAGAAACUCAUACAGGCACUACCAGUAGGUUUAUUCAUCAUCUUUAUCAAAAGUAUAAACUGCACUUGAAGAAAGAUGAUACACGAGUUCCUUUGUUUUCCUGCCUACAUAACUAAAUUCUACAGGCAACAUAAAUUACAUUUAUUACUACAGAUUAUUUCAAUCUUAGCUUAUCCAUACACUGGCAUAAGCGCUAGAGACAAACCACUGAUCAAGCGGUUUCUCUGGUAAACUUAUCUCUCUGACCGAAGCAUCCCCCACUGGAACUUC